GAGAACGAGGCCAAUUUGUUUUCAAUUUCGUAUAACCUCGUUUAUUUUGAUGUUGUUGUUUCGACAACUAUGUUACAUUUUGAUACAUGUUCAACGCUUAGUUCCUUAUUCGUAUUUUUUAAUUUCUUCGGUUAGGUUACAGUUACUCUUUCAGCAAAAAAAAAAAAAAAAAAGGUAAUUUUUGACAACAAUGUUUUGGUCGUUAUCAUCGAUCGAAAUAGUUAAAAAAAAGAAUUUUUUAUUUUUAUUUUUUAUAUAACAACAAAGAAUGAUUUUUUUUAUUUGGUCAAAUCUUUUGUUAAUAUUCUAUUACUAUAUUACACUACUGCUAAUAUAUAUUACGCAACAGUAUAAGCAUUCAUUGCUAUAUCGAGUUAUCAACCAUCAUUCAUCAAUUGUCUAUGAUAUUUCUUUUUUUGGAUAAACUAAUCAUAAAUUAACCAGAACUAGAGUUUAAAUGUCUAUGAUAAUAAAAACCCAAACGAAACAAUGGGAUAUGUAAUCCACUGCUAAUUCUCAUCACUGCCAUGCAUCCAUGACAUAGGGAGCGAUGAGCAUUGUAUUACUAUAUGUCUUCAUGUCACUAUUGUUGUGUUUGCAGUUUGCACUUUCUACCCGACAUUUGCUUUACCCACUUUAGUGGUCCUAUUUGCUCUUUCCACUAAAAUACGGGUCAGUUUCAUAAUUUCUGAAAAUAUACGGACAUCAUCCAAUAUGAUAUAUGCAAAGCCAUGGAUAUUUCAAGGGAUAUAUACUGUAUAUAGGUACGUUCAAAUUAAUGCAAAAUUCUGAUUAUAUAUAGAUUUAAAAAUUCACAUUUCACACACAUAUAUUAAAAUGAUCUUUAAGCAAUAAUUUAUCUUACAUAUAUAGUUUACUCCAAUUCAAAUAUACAAAUAUGGUAACUGAAUACUGAACUUGAGACUAUUUGGUUUGAUCAUAGAUGAAUUCUACAAGGUACGGUACAUUCGUUUAAACUUAGGGUUAUCAAUCAUAUAUAUGUACUAUACAUAUUUUAAAGGGCCUAUUAAAAAAAGGAAUCCACAAAACUAUGGACUAUAGAUCUAAAUUUGGUUAGGAGGAUGUACAAAAGAUAGUUGCGAUAACUUAAAUAUGACAACCGGACAGAAUAAUUGCGAUUACAAGUACCAUAUUUGUACACAUAGGCUACGUACAUUCUCGAUAACCAAAUAGUUUUAUCAUUCUUUAAGAAGAUUUAUACGGUGUGACGUGGUGGAAGAGGAACCACCCGAACAGGCCACAGGAGCUCUAUGAAUCAGCAGAUAAAGCGGGGUGGCCGACAAGUCGACAAUCCAAUUUAUGUGGACAUCGAACUCUCACGUUUCUUCACCCUCCACGUGCCCUCUCAUCAUCCCUACCAACCGCUUAGAUCAUUCCUCCCCAAAAUUCAACUUAACCUCUUUCCCCACCUAUUUUUAUUAUUAGGGUAAAUUUUGUUAUAUGUGUUUCCAAAUCCAUCUUUUCAAAAUAUUUUCUUUGUGAAAUUGACGUGUUAAUUAAAAAUUAGUAAGACUUGGACGAAUCAGUCAUAACUCAAACGGAAGAUAUCUAUUUUGGAAAGAAGAAAAGAUUGAUAUAGUAAGGUUUUGAACGAAAGCAUUUUACGAUGAACUGUUAUACCACUAUGACAAUUGUUAAAAAUCACUAUUCAAGAUUGAUAUUAAUAUUCGUGCAUUUGAAAGCGAUAUGUAAUAGGCUUAAGCUAAUAUACUAUAAUAAAUAAUUAUUUCAAUUUUCAAAGAUGGCUUUGUAAUUAAAAAUUGCGGCAAGUGGCAACUAUAUUUCACUGUUCAAACCUUAAACUUACAACAAAUGUUAGACGAUUAGUUUCCUUGUAGUUGAAGCAAGGGAUUUAAUUUUACCUUUUUGACAUUGCCUCCAUUAUAUUUCCAAUACAAAAGAAGUUUCUGAAAACAAUGCAAGUGAUUGAUUUCUCGAAAGCUCUUUCCUCUACGCGUAACUUCCCAUAUUCCAAAAGAAGCCUCUCGCGAAAAUACCUAUUUAUGUUUUUGUUUCAAUUUCACACGCAAAGUAAAAUUCGAUACUUAUUUAUUUUAACCACAAAAACAUAAGUACGUACUGUAAUAUCUAAGAAAUGAUUCUAGCAUGUUCAAGCAUCGUAGUUCAAUAAGAUAUAUCUAGUGGAGUACUAUAUAUGUAAUAUGUUUUAGUCUCAGUACGAGGAUAAUAUCUUAAGAUUAAUUACAAUUUGUAUAGCCGACGUAGUACGUAAUCACUAGUCAGUAGUCAUCAUCCCGUCUCAUAUGAUAUGAGAUUAGCAAUUAGUAUGUUAUUUAGACGUCUAAUUCAUUGUAUUUUUUUUUUUCAGAAAAAAAUCAUUUCAAAGGUUUAAUUACAUAAACUCAUUACAUAUCCGUUAGAAGAUAUUAACCUCUUCUUACAUACAAGAUUUCUUUUUGUUUUUUGUACAAGAAAUAAUUUGCACAACAAAAAGUUGAUUUGUUUAAAAGAAGCAAUGUAACACAAUACGAAAACAAUGGCAAACUAAACAAUUUACGAUAGUUCUAACUCGGAGAAACAGUUUGUACUACUUAAACAUUGUUAGUUGACCCCUAAAAAAGAUAAUCUCACUAACAUUUCUGAAGCUUUUGCGAUUUAAUAUGAAAAUAUAAGAUGUAUAAACAGUAUAUAUGUAUAUGUUUAAAAAAUCAAUCAUUGGAUCUUUGAUGCGACUCUUUGGCAUACAAAUAAAUAUACAACCGAAAUAUAACAAAUCCUUUAAAUGCGAAGAUAUUAAUAUUUAACACAUACAUAAUUUGAUGGGGCCAAAAUAUUGGACUCGAAGCUAACUUAUGAAUACAGCCACGCGACGUGAUUGUAAAAUACAAAAUAUCGCAUGGGCAGAACCGUAAUUGUGAUGAUAAACUGCCUGUUCGGACAUAUGAAAGAUAUGCUUUGUCAGAGAGUUUCAGAAGAAGUCUUUCCCAUGCUUACCACUUCACCUCUCUCUCUCUCUCUCUCUCUCUCUCUCUCUCUCUCUCUCUCUCUCUCUUUCUUUUUCAUUCUCCACUGUAACCUCCCAAUUCUAACCCAAACUUGAGAAUUGUAUAUUCUUUCUCUCUACGAAAUGCAAGAUAUUCAUCAUGAGUACUCUAUGGCCGGGGGUGGCGGUGGUGGAGGAGGAGGGAGGUUUUUCGGCGGAGGAAUCGGCGGCGGAGGAGGUGGAGAUCGGAGGAUGAGAGCUCAUCAGAACAAUAUACUUAACCAUCACCAAUCUCUCAAGUGUCCUCGUUGUAACUCUCUUAACACCAAGUUCUGUUACUAUAACAAUUACAAUCUUUCUCAGCCUCGGCACUUUUGCAAGAACUGUCGCCGUUACUGGACUAAAGGCGGUGUUCUACGUAACGUCCCUGUCGGCGGUGGUUGCCGGAAAGCUAAACGAUCGAAAACAAAGCAGCCUUCGUCCUCUGCCGACAAAUUAUCAACGACGACGCUAGAACAUAACGUAGAGGAGAAGUCGAGUACCGGAUCUCACUCUAGCAGCGAGAGCUCUUCUCUCACCGCUUCUAACUCUACCACCGUCGCUGCCGUAUCCGUUACCGCCGCGGCGGAGGUUGCUUCGUCGGUUGUUCCCGGUUUCGAUAUGUCUAAUCUUAAACUGUAUGGUAACGGGAUCGAGUGGUCGACGUUGCUCGGACAAGGCUCAUCGGACGGUGGAGUUUUCUCGGAGAUCGGAGGUUUCACUGCGGCGUCGACGAUUGAAACGACUCCGUUUGGAUUCGGGGGGAAGUUCGUAAACCAAGAUGAUCAUCUGAAGUUGGAAAGUGAAACUGUACAGCAGCAACAGUUUGGAGAUCGGACGGCUCAGGUUGAGUUUCAAGGAAGAUCGUCGGAUCCAAAUAUGGGGUUUGAACCGUUGGAUUGGGGAAGUGGCGGAGGAGAUCAAACACUGUUUGAUCUAACCAGCACCGUUGAUCAUGCAUACUGGAGUCAAAGUCAAUGGACGUCGUCUGACCAAGAUCAGAAUGGUCUCUACCUUCCUUGAUUGAUUUGAUUCUCUCAUAGCUUCUUCUUCUUCUUCUUAACCCAAAAAUAUAUAUUCUAUACACAUAAGGUAAAGUUCGAUGAAGUGGUUUUUUUAUUUUAUUUUAUUUUAUCAUUAUGGGUUUUAAACGGGAUUUAUUAUAUAAUUAUAUGACUGAAUGUAAAUUUUUUUUCCCAAAUAUAAAAUUUAUCUCUCUAUUUUGUUUUUUUUCGGUUAGUUUUUGGAAUAUUUCCAACUUCCAAGAGUGCAAAUUUAUAUAGCAUGGUUUUAUUAUGGCUUCGGUUCAGUUUUGGAACUGGCUGUUUUUACUUAUCGUUGUAUAUUUGAUAAGGUUUUAAUUUUUCUGGGGUUUUUUUUUUUUUUCUAUUUUGCUUUGUGUUUCAUUUGAUGUAUCUAAUAAAUUUAUAUAUUUGAUUGGGCAUACAAAACCGUCGAUUCUGCAUCUUUGAUUAUGUGUUUUCUAGUGGGUUUGUUUAUGAGUUUCUCUUAGUAUGACUCACUAGUCACUAGUUGUUAAGACAGUGAACAGGUUCAGUGUAGCUACGUUUCCGUCUAAUUAAGCCGUGUAAUAAUAUAGGUAGCACUUAAAUAAACAAUAUGCAAAAUCCUUAUAUUAUCUUAUCCUGGAAUUUUAUAAUCGAAUAAACAACUAUAUAUAUAUAUAUAUAGCUUCCACUAGGCAAUAGAAAACUAACUACUAUUAUAGUAUAAACUUAUUUCUGUUACUACAUAAACAAUGAUUAACUCGAAAGAGUAAUCAAUCGUAGGUUUGUUGUUGAUACUUGAUAGAAAGAAAUAUAUAUAUACUAUAAAGAUGGAGAGUUAGAAAAGGCAUUUUCGAGGGGAAUUGUACGGAAGAAAGAAACGAGAGAGCCGUGCCGUCGCGUAAAAACAGUGCAAAAGCAACGGACGAGCUAGCGAGCGAAAUUGCGCAUAGGAUUAGGACCCCAUGUGUUAGUGACGAGUCUCAUGUAAUCCACGUGGCUUUGAACUGGAUCCCACUUCACGUGUCGUAGUCGUAACGUCCGAUGGCUGACGUACGUACUUAUAUAUCGAAGGGUCGGUUCGUCGUUUUCUACUUAACCACUAAGCGCUCGUAGACGACUUCAACAAAGAUCUAAGAAGCCCGAGAGAGAGAGAGAGAUAAGACUUGAUGAGUACGGAUUCAUCUGAUUGUGGGCCGUUGGAUUUGGAUUUGGAUUGGGUGAGAGACACACACCCCUCUCUCGAACCAAUGGUGAUGAUGUUGAGGGGUCCAAUAUUAGGUAGGUGGUGGUCAUUGUAGGGAAACACUUGAGAGGCGGAGUAGGUCCAUUAGGACAUGUGCAUAAGUUGUAAAAUCUCCAUACAAAUCACACACGGGAAAGUUUGGUUGGGCGGUUGGGAGAGUUUGGGAUUGUCUGUGGGUUGGUGUAUGACUCCUCCAUGUUCCCUUGUCAUUCUUCUUUUCCUUUGAUUGUUUCAUGAUUUCUACUCGUAUUUUUCUGUCUUUUUUUUUCGUCCAUGGACUCGCAUCGUUACGACAAAUUAGAGAACAUUCACGGCUAUUCUAUAAGUCCACUCCUAUGUAUCUGAUGGUUACACUUUACACAAACCACAAAGUCUUGGUGGAUGGGUUAUUACUUACUCACAAUACUGUCUGCUUGUCACUGGCUCACUGCCUGCUUAUAUCUUCAGGCUGAACGUUUUAGUAGAUCGAAUUGGAGAGGAAUACACACUUUCAGACUGUCGACAAAAAAAAAAAAAAAAAAAAAAACACUUUCAGACUAUUUUUAAGACCAAAAAACGUAUUAACGGGUUGUCGACAUGGUCGAGAAUUGUGGAAAGAUCUUAGAUUAUCUCACAUGCACAAUUAGAACAUUCACAUGCACAUAUCCUUAUCUAAGUCACUCAAUAGAUUUAACUUUUGAAAAGUUAAAUCUAUUAUCUUCAAAGGUGCAUUAUCAAGGUAACAUUAUAACUGAUUAGCUCAAACAAUUAAGAUAUACAAGUAGGUUUAUUUCUGAGCUGGGAUUACAACUGAAACAGCUGGAGUUUUAUUGAAAGACUUCAAAUCUGGUCCAUUCUUUCUAGUCUUUGAAUCAUAGGCAUGGUUUGACGACCCCUCGUCCUAACCAGAUUUCACAUUCGUACUGAUUGUAUGUAACAUAGUCUAAUCACUCGGAACACUUUUUAUUUCUUUGCUUUAAAAAAAAAUCUAUUAAGGUUAUGAUUACACUUUACGAUUUUAAUAAUCUAAAGAUUCUUCUUCAUAAAAAAUCUUUUAAAAAAUAAGUAAUAAUUAAGAGUUCUAUGUAAUUAUUGUGUCUACAAAUUAAUAAAAUUUCUAUAAACAUUUUGAUUUUUUUUUGCUUUUUUUUUAUAUUCAUAACCAGACUAUUUGGUUUUAUCUAUUUUUGUAAUUAAAAAAAAAAUGAAGGCCACUCAUUUUUGAAAUUAAAGAACACUCAAUAAACAUAAAACAAGCGUGUAAGUAAAACCUCAACCAACAUAUGUCAAUGUGAAAUAGACAUUUGUGUGUGUUUUUAGUUUUUUAAUUUUUUUAAACAUAGUGGACGUCUUUUAACAAAAAUAGAAGUGGGCUUAAUACAGGCCUGGGUAACGACCCGGACCCAAGUCGGAUCCAUAUCACCGCGAUUUAUUCUUUUCACAUUUUUGUCUCUCCCUGAAAAUUUUGAAAGUCUUCUUUUAUUGUUCUUCUUCUUACCCCGUUGGUCGAUACGCGCUUAAUUACCAGAAAAUCUCAGAUCCAUAUAUAUUUUCGAAAGAUAGCCUCUUUGAUCUGAUAAUCUCACUAUGGCGGCAUAUAGAGCCGACGACGACUACGAUUACCUAUUCAAGGUUGUCUUAAUUGGAGACUCCGGUGUCGGAAAAUCCAACCUCCUUUCUCGAUUCACGCGCAAUGAGUUCAGUCUCGAGUCUAAAUCCACGAUCGGGGUCGAAUUCGCCACCCGUAGCAUCCAUGUCGAUGAUAAGAUCGUCAAAGCCCAGAUUUGGGAUACCGCCGGCCAAGAAAGGUAUUUAUUCAUUGCAAAUCGAUACAUUACGCUUCAUGAUCUAUGGGAUCGAUUUCAAUUUUGAGAUUGGAGCAUUCGUCUCAUAAGAUUUCGUUGGUUUCGUUUUUGAUGAUUUUGAAGAUAUCGAGCAAUCACGAGUGCGUAUUACAGAGGAGCUGUUGGAGCGUUGCUUGUGUAUGAUGUUACAAGACAUGUGACCUUUGAGAACGUUGAAAGAUGGUUGAAAGAGCUUCGAGAUCACACAGAUUCUAACAUUGUGAUCAUGUUCGUCGGGAACAAAGCGGAUCUUCGUCACCUACGAGCUGUUUCUACCGAAGACGCUAAGGCUUUUGCGGAGAGGGAGAACACUUUCUUCAUGGAGACAUCCGCUCUCGAAUCGAUGAACGUCGAGAAUGCUUUCACCGAAGUGCUUUCACAGAUUUACCGUGUCGUUAGCCGGAAAGCGUUGGAUAUAGGAGAUGACCCUGCUGCUCUUCCCAAAGGACAGACCAUCAAUGUUGGGUCCAAAGACGAUGUCUCUGCGGUUAAGAAGGUUGGUUGCUGCUCCAAUUGAUGGUGCGCCUACACUACAGUCAGAAAUCGGUCUAUUCGAUCUUGUUUGUUUAUUCUUGUUGUUAUAUAUGAAGAUCUUGUUGAUUUAUUUGUAUAAUCUUACACCUAAAAGUAUAUUGAAUUCCACUGCCUUUCCAUUUCAAAUGUAUAUCACAAACAACAUUUGAAUUGAUCCUCAAUGACUCAAUGUACUGUGUUUCUACCGUCUAUCAAAAGUUUUAUUAAUGUGAUCUAGAGACCAAACACAUAGCAUGUGAGGCACCAAUGGAAACUGAGAUAACCUUGUGUGGUUGUCCCUCAUCUUCUUCAGUUAAGAAAUUAACUUCGACCGGAAUAGAUUGGAUCUCCGGGAGACCUGGAACUCCUAGUUGGAAAUCUUUAGCGUUUCCCCACAUCCAGAGUUCGCCUCCAUCUGUCAAGAACCAAUCCCAUGUUUAUAGUUUUUGAGCUAUUUAUCAUGUCAAAUGAACAUAACUACUUUACGUACCUGUUAUCGCUGCAGAAGAGGAACCUCCACAAGCAAUGAAGACGAUCUUUUUGUCUGAUAACGCUUCAAUUUCUGUAGGUGUUCUCUGGUUUCGAAGCGAGGAAUUACCCAAUUGGCCGUGUCCACCAUGGCCCCACGAAAGUACUUUACCGUCCUCUGUUGUCACACCAAGCAAUUUCAAGUCAACCUUGUAAAAACCAACCAGAGAUAUUGCUCGGUUUGUAGAAGAUUGUUUACCGGUUAAGGCAAGAGAGUGAUAUCCACCGCACGCAACCUGGGUGAUACGAACGCCUUCUAAACUGGGAACCGGCAUUGGUUCCCACCCUCCCAAGUUAUCCCCGCGUCCGAGCUCAUUAUUGGAAUUUGCUGAUACAGGAAGAUCCAAUGAAUUGUAAAAUAAUCAUCUAUGCAAGAAAACAUAAUUGUUGCGACAUUGCAGUAUAUCAUGAUUUUUACACUAUCGAUGGUCGAAACUAAUGUAUUAAAUUGGUUGUUACCUCCCCAGUUCCAGAGUUGUCCCUCUUGGGUAAGCGCCAUUGUGAAGAAACCACCACAAGAGACAGAGUCAACAGGAACAGUUAAAGCUUUGACCUUUGACGGAACACUGAGCCCACCACCUUCGUUUGGUCCUCGGCCUGGCCCGAGUCCUAGUCUACCGUCUCCUUCUUCUCUUCCCCACAUAUAUAGCUCUCCUAAAACCAAGAACAAGUCUUGCUCGAUUAAGAAUAUAUCAAACAGUUAAAACCAAAAAGGAUAACAACGCUAUGUGAACCUACUACUCUUCUAUUUAGCAAGUUAUUGAUAUUUGGUCCUGCCUGACAGUAUUCGGCUUGUUCGAAAACUUCUCAAUUAAGCUAGCACUGCAGAAAUGUAGCAAGAAGAGAAAGCAUGUAGAAACCUGAUUCGGUAAUAGCAGCAGUAUGAGUUCCACUGGUUGCAAUGGCAGAGAUUUUGCAGUCCCAAGAGCCAUCAACACGUCGAGGCACGAGUUCUCUAGUGUAAACUUUAUGUCCAAGUGCACCAAAGCCACCAUAACCCCUAACAACUUCAUUUUUAAUAUAUGGAACCAAUCACAUUAUGCAGAAGCAAAAGAUCAAACACAAAUGCAAAUCUAGCUUGAUGUAUUGAUAUUGGCUAUUUGGCUUAACAUCAACUUGCACAAACAGUAUGAUUCAAAACUCAAUUAUUGAAGCUGAAGCUUACCAAGUGAAUACAUCUCCUUGAUGUGUUAAAGCCACUGAAUGCAAACCACCAAGAGCGAUAGAUCGAAUGGAACGUUCUUCGAAAAGCGGGUUUAAAUUGGGGACGAACACCGAGUUCUCUUGGCCAAAACCUAGCCUACCUCCGUCACCUUUUCCCCAAAUCCAUAGAUCUCCGUCUAUGGUUAAACCCGAGUGGAACAAUCCGCAAGAGAUUCCAACCCGAAAACUCGAUGAAGAAUCAGCGUCGAUUCUUCCAGGAGCUUGGGCGAGAGAGAAGGACUGAUCAGAGCGAAGGACGAGAUUAGCGACGGGAGACGGAUACAUUCGGAUCUCUUCGAUUCCACCGCCGAGCUGACCUGAAGCGCCUCGUCCCCAUGAGAGGAGCUGGAGAGUGACGGGACUAGAAUCGAUCUCUGGGCUUGUGUAGAGUGUUGGUACUUUGCUGGUGGUUCCUCCGCCGCUUCUUUGAGUGGUACGGGUGGAAGAGAAGCGGCGCGUGAAGCUACGUAAGCGGUGGCUUAACGGUGCCAUUGUUUUAUCGGAGUUUCAUCUCUACCGGUGGGUUUUAAAAUAUGACUAUGUGAGGCUUAUUGAAACGACGGCGUUUAGUGGCGUAUCGUGGUAAAAUAUAAUAAUUGCUCCUGAUGAGGACCUUAAUCAUUGUUCUUUUUGUCAAUAAGACCUUAUAAUUUAGAUUCGUUAGUUAUGAUAAAUUAUGUUAAAAAAAAUUGUUUUUGACAACAGAUUGUAAAUAUAUGAUUGAAAAUUUGAAAAAAAUAAUAUUUUCUUUCAGUAUUCACUAUGUUCUAAAAAAAUAGGUAAUACAGUAAAUGUAGAGUAAUUUGAUGAGUUAUUGUGUUUGUUACAGUUAUGCCAGUUUUAGUGCCAAUAAAUGUGUAACUUUUUAAAAUAAUUUAGCCAAAUAGUUACCAAGAAAUUCAUAAGGUUGAGAAUUGAGAGUCGAAAGCUUCUCACGGAAAGCUCGAAAUCUUAUUGUUAGACAAAAGUAACUGAGUUCUUGACCAAUGAACGAGUGUACCAUAAAAGAUCAGAAUAUGUAAUGUGUAACAUUCAAGACAUACCAUAUGAUAAUAGUAUGAUUUAAUCUUUUCACUUCUUGUCUUAUAAAAGAUCGAAAAUUAUCUGUAUUUGUUUUCUUUUCGGAGUGUUUUUUUUUUUGGUGGUACUCAGAAACAGAGUAUAACAAAGAAUCGCAGAAACUUUUUAGAAUUGUCUCUUAUAAAAUAUUUCAGAAUCUACAGCAUUGAAAGCCUAAAGCAACUGGUUUUGGUUUCUUGGGAGACAAGUCAUCUGAUUCAGGCAUCUUAACAGGGCUUCCCAUCCACUCUAAUCCUAAUCUGCAUCCAAUUUCAUCAAUGCCAAACAAUUCAAUUAAUCUUCUCCAACCGAAAUAUAAACAAAAAAAAAAUGUAUUAAAAAGUACGGUUUUCUUGUGAUUUGAAAACUCACAUGGGAAACGCAAAAGAACCCCUUCCUUCGUCUGAGUUAUUAGACCCGCUCGAUUUAUCAGAGGCAUCGAUAUCUUCUUCUUCUUCAGUUUUCUGAAACAGCACAAAACAAAGAAAUCAUUAAUACAUGGAAAUGGUAUAUUACUCUUGAAACUGAAACAUAUUAAGGAAAACAUUACUUCUGUAAUAUCUUCAGAUUCUUGACUUGAAGUGUUAUUGUUCUGCUCUUGUUCUGCGCCUUUAAUCUCCGGCGACUUAUUCUUAUCUGUUCCUCCUCCUACUCCUUGAUCUCCAUAAAUAAGCUGUUCUUAACAAAAACAAAUCAAUAGUUGAGACUAAUUAAUUAAUAGCCUAGUGGUUUGUUUCUUGGGAUUUGGAGGCUAUGUUUCACAACUUUAGCGCAAAGUUUAAUUUCGAUUUUUUCUGACAAGAACGAACCUUACGAUUGACAGUCCUCGGUGACUUUCCCGGGGACAAUUCGUUAUCUUUCUUGUCUUGUUUACCCUCUUUAACCACAUCGAAACCUCCAUCUUCGCGGUCGAAACAGAACACAAUGAAACCAGAUUCGUCAGAAACAGGUUGCUGCGGCCAGCUCAACCGCCGGUGCUGAGACGCCGACGUCGUGGGAGAAACGCUGCUGCUGCUUCUAAGAUGAAGAUGAUGAUGACGUGUCCCAGGUGGGCUUAGACUGAGUUUCCUCUCUGAUCUCUUCUUCUUAGUACUCUUCAUCUUCCUCUUUAUCCUCUUGAACGUUAGACUAUUGUUGUUGCUCGUACUACUGUUUCCGUUAUUAUUAACUCCAUCUUCAUCUACGUCUGAUAGAAAUAUACUAACUUUUUAGAAAAACAAUAGCUUAAAAGAAAAUAAUGAAAUUAGAAACAAAGAGAGCAGAAUAAGAGAAGAAAGAUCACCUAGAGGAAUCUUGCAAGCCAAGAAACAGGAAGCCCAAUCUUUGACUCUCCAAGUGACAAGUUUUGGUAUUGUCCACUGUGAUGAAGCCAUAGCUGUUAUGAUAUUUUGUGUUUUCACGAGAAAUAGUAUAUUUGUGUGUGUGUUUUUGAGGCUUUUUUAAGAAUAAGUUUUGACAAGGGGAGAAUUUAUUACGAUGAGGGAGAAGAUGAGAAGAAUGAUUUUGAAAUUUGAAAAAAAAUAAAAAUAAUAACAAAAAGAUUUUAAAGACAAGACAAUAGAUUGCCAUGAAUUAGGGAAAGGGGGGUUACAAUGUGCAACACAUGAAUGCAUUUAAUAUUUAUUGUAAUAUUUAUUUUGGUAUUGUAAUAAUUGGGCAGUAAAUGCUAUCAUAGUUAAGAAACACUGCUAUAAGAAAAUUCAAUUUCUAUAUUUUUCAGCUGUUCAAUUUUUAUUAAUUCUGUUUUUUUUUUUUUUUUUUUUUUUUGCAGAUAUGUCAAGAAGACGGCAUAACCAUUUAAAAUGGUGGCUACGGGCUAGAGUAGACAAAUGACAUAGAUGCCAUUUAAUAUGGACACAUGGGCCUAUAUAUGUAGCCCAUUAUCUGAUUUAUAGAAUACUACUAAGUCCAUUAGAGCAGCAGCAUCGGUAGUCUCUCACCCAAACUCUUGCCAUUUUAAAAAAGAGAAAAAAUUGAAAAGAGAAGAAAGAGGAGAGAGACGUCUCUCGUUUGAGAGAUUUUAACAAAAAUACAAGAGACGGUUCUCGUGUCUGUCAUUUUAUGAUUGGUCUGUUAAAUUAUUUUUUAAUUAAAUAUUAUUAAGUUAUGUUCACACUUAGUUUGAGAGACCCAAAUGCAGAGACUGCCGAUGCUGCUGGUCUUAGAUGUAUAUCUGAUUAUUUUUCAGGUGAGAUAUAUCGUCGUUCGGAAGGCGCGAUACGGAUGAGAGUCUCCACUGCCGCGAAGGGUUGCUGCAGAAUGUUUAUCUUAAGAAAAGAUAAAAACUUCACCCUUCUUGUUUGCGUCACCUAAAUUGAGGUAUCUAAUAUUAAAUAUUUUCACCUAUACGUUGCACGAUGCUGAUUACAAAGUUUUGUCAUUGUUAAAACUUACGACGAUGUAUUUGUUUAUGCUCAAUAACAUGAAGUACUUAUGUUUGAAAGUACAAACUUACGACGAUGUAUUUGUUUAUGUUCAAUAUCGAGAAAACUUCUUGAUAUAUAUGAGGAUAUUCAAGAAAUGAAUAAAUUGAAAUGGAGCGUGGAGUUUGCUUGAUAUAUAUAGGGGGUAUAGGUUUGGAAGUAUCAUCAAACAAAGAAUUAUCAUCCGAGUUAAAACUAGGUCAAUUCAUGCUCUUGAAAAGAAAGAAAAAGUGAAUCUUAGAUUAAGCGUUCAUCUAAAUAUCUCUAGUUCAUUCGGAAUUAGUGUUGAAGUAAUUAAAAGGUGUUUUAAUGUCGAGUAAAAAUUCAUUUAAACAAAGCUUAGUGUGUAAAGAUUAUUUAAAGAAUUUGAAUUGAAAGCUUUUGAAGAUUUAGACACGUUGUCAACUUUUAAAUUGUUUGUGUGCUCAUAUUUUCGUACUAGCAAAUAUUAUAUGCUUAAUACUUUGUUGCACAUAUUCAAUAACAUGAAAUACACGAGGUUAGGGGGUACGCAAGUUAGAAUGGUCCACAGACCACAGUCCACUAUAAUUCUGUAAAGCACAUAUGGCUCAUAACCAAAUAAAAUUGAAGGAUUUGUUUGAUAAAGUAUUAACAUACGUUAAUAAAUUGCGCACUUGAUAAAAAGUCUGGUGUACUGUUUAUAAAUCUUUCGAAUCGAUCAUCAUACCAUUUCACACGCUAGCUGCCAAAUCAUUUAACUACCACCACUCUCGUUAUUAUUUUUUUUCUUUUCUUUUGGAGUGUCGCAAACAUAUAUAGUCACUGGAAUACUAAAGUUUAUCAUAUCGGAUGACAGACAUAAGAAUUAAAGGGAAACAUUUCAUGUAUAUCUUUUAUAAGACUAGAAUCUGCUGUGGCCUAUACGAUAAAGACAUUGUUUUCGAAUGUCAUGUGUUAAAAAUCAUUGGCCCCCUGAGUAGAAUUUUACACCGGCCUAUUCGCUCACUUACGCCGUCCCCCCUCAGCUGAGAAUUUUAAGGUUCCUAUUUCUUAAGUUGUUGUUCGUACACAAAUUUUAGGUAAUGAAUUUAAAGGUUACACCACACACUUCUGUUUCGUCGUCGGAAUGUCCGGAAAUUGAUCAAAGAGGAAUGAUUAAUUGAUAUACGCUUCAAAGCUAAGUGCUCAAACUUGUACGUAGUUUUAAAAGAAUUACCUUAUAUACAGAUCCUGAUAUUGAUAUAUGAAGUGUGUCCACUUAAUUAUCAUCUUCUUGUAAUUAGUACUUUUUGUAGUAUGCCACUUGAACGUAAGUUUUGAGCAUUAUGUAAUUUAUGUUGAUGUAAUGAAAUAAUGAAUAAUGAUGCCCUUUUACAUAUACAUUUCUUUUGGAAGGUGCGUUCGUCGUAUUUUAUCACUAGAUAUGUUUUAUGUAUACAUACGAGAUUUUGAUUUGUUAUCCGCCAGUUUGGUUGCGUAUUUCUUCUGAUAGACUGAUAUUAGAGUCUAGAGACGUGUUUAGUAAGAUUAGAGACAGCAGUCUAUGUCAACAAUGAAGGAAGUAUGUUAUCAUAGUCAGAUAUAUUUCGAUAAAUUUUUUUUUUUUGCUAACUAUAUUUCGAUAAAUUAGAUUCAGUAUCAGAUUACGGAUCAAUUUAAGGGUGUUAACUACCACCAAGAACGAUAUCAUUUUCUGGCGCGGUAAAAUGGGUAAUAUGUUAACAACAACCACAAAAAUGAUAAUAGUUUUCAUGAAAAAUCACGAUGGAAAUGGAUUUGAAAUUUUAUAUAUAUAUAUAGUAUUGAGAAAUAAUAGGUUUUCGUCAUAAAACAAUAGAAUAUGUGUCAAAAAUAUAUUUAGACAUAAGAAAAUGGUAUAUAUAUUCAUUACAGCUGAAUAUUAGAUUCAUGUGCCUCGCAAUGGGUUGACACAUCUUGUUGCAUCGGGAGUCAGAAACGUCCAACAACGUCGCGUCAGGUCCUCAUCGUUUACAUAUGUGCGUGAUAACUUAAAAAAAACGAAAAACGCAAAUCCAAUAUAUAAUGCUUUUGUACACUUUAGAGACAUACAUGUACAUUAAGUUAUGAGAGUUAUCAAGGACACACUUAUGAAAAAGGCUGUGCUCCUCAAAAUCAAAUCCUUUAAUUUAGAUACAUAUAUGCUAUAAAAUAUAAAUGAUAAAUUUUAAUAUGUAAUAUCAUAGUCAUAUAUAUAGACUCAAUAGAUGAACCUUGAGUGGUACCAAAAACCAAUAUGCAGUAUGUUGAAAGAAGACAAAUAGCAAUAUUUUAAUGAUAGUUGCCUUUUAGUUAUAUUGAUUGAAUGAAUCAAUUAUUGUUCUAGGAUGAACACUUUUCUUGACCACCGUAUCUAACCCAUCUCAAUGUUCCUUGAUUUCACAAGAAACAAACUAAAACGAACAAAGAGUAUCAGAACAGUGUCAUCACUCAUCAGUCUACAUUUCCGUGUGACCGCGAAUUCUGACAGAUGCUUGACUCUUCCAAGGAAAAUAUUACAUGUGUCAUUAGGAAUAAAUUAGAGAACGAGUAAUCUCUACCAUAUAUCCCUUCGUAAUUUUUUUUUUUAAAUACGUUACUUUUGACAGCAAUCAAUUUUUAAUCAUAUACCAAUAUCUCCCUCUCUCUCUCUCGCUCUCGUAAUUUUACUAUAUAAGAGCACCUCUGUAAACUGUGUGAGACAGAACUAGAAAAGAAAACAUCGACCGUUCCUUGAUUUCAAACUGGAUAUAUAAUGGUAUCGCAUUCACGUGUUCCUCGUCAAAAGAGUGUUUCAGUGAGUACAAUCUUCAAGUGUCUUCUGGUUUUGAUCAGACGCUCUAUUCAGUUCUCUUAAGCCUUGUCUUUUUUUCUUUUUCUUUUCCUCUCUCUUUUCCUUGCUAAUUUCACUUUAAAGAUGCUCUAAUAACGAGUCUUUCUUUUGAAAACAUGGAGUUCUAAUUAUGAUAAUUUGUUAGCUCCACCUAGGAUUAUUUGACGGUAGUAUUAAUUAAACUAAACUAAAAUCAAGAAUCAAGAAUCAAGAAUCAAGAAUCAAGAAUCAAGAAGAAGAGAACUAGAAAGAUGGUGAGGACACCAUGUUGCAAAGAAGAAGGAAUAAAGAAAGGGGCUUGGACUCCUGAGGAAGAUCAAAAGCUUAUUGCUUAUCUUCAACUCCACGGUGAAGGUGGAUGGCGUACUCUCCCUGAAAAAGCUGGUAUUUAUUUUAUUUUUAUUUUUUUAGUAUCAAAUGUUCCAAUUAUUAGCUAUUAAUUUAUAUAUAGUAUUGUAAUGUGUGUACAAUGUAUAUAUAUAGGACUGAAGAGAUGCGGAAAGAGUUGUAGAUUGAGAUGGGCGAAUUACUUAAGACCCGACAUUAAGAGAGGAGAGUUUAGUCCCGAAGAAGACGAUACCAUCAUCAAGCUUCAUGCUCUUAAGGGUAACAAGUAAGAAAGAAGCGCAGCUUUUUAUUUUCUUUAGUUUUCAUCUUUGUUUUUUAUUUUAUUUAUUUUGGAUUAGGUAAUCAUUACUUUAAUUAUGUCUACAUGUGUAAUGUUGCAUGAAGAAAGGUUACUGAUUUUAUUUUUAUUUAAACGAAUUUGGAUUCCCACAUUGAUAACGAAUGGUAAAUAAGAGAUAGUAGUACUUAUAUGUGGUGUUUGACUGUUACGUUGAAGGUGGGCUGCAAUAGCGGCUAGUUUGGCGGGACGAACUGACAACGAAAUAAAAAACUAUUGGAACACAAAUCUCAAGAAGCGUAUAAAACAAAAGAAAGGCCUCGAUCCCAUUCCCAUCACUCACAAAUCGAUCAAUUCUUCAACCGGUCAAAACGCUAUCGAACCAAUAAACAACAAUAAACCGGUACGUUCAUCCGGUUCCGCAAGGCUUCUAAACCGCGUCGCAAGCAAAUACGCAGCGGAGUUUAACCGGGAUCUACUAACCGGACUCAUCAGUGGAAACCGCACCGUCUUCGGGGAUUCACAAAACCCCUCCGGCAAGAUCGAUCCUAGGGACUCAACAUUGCUAAACAAAGUGGCGGAAACGUCGGUUUAUAUCAACAGUAGUACAUUGUCCGACAUCUCCGACAACUGUUUCAACGAGUUCUUAAGCAACGAAGAGAUCUCCGACAACUGUUUCAACGAGUUCUUAAGCAACGAAAAGAUCUCCGAUGAUUUCAUGUAUACGACAAUCGAUAAUAUCGAGUUUAUGGAGGAGUUAAAGGGAAUUUUAAGCGGUUCAGGCGCCGAAGUUGUUGAAAAUUCGUCUGAUGAGGUCAAUGCAGCUGAUGAAAUGGAGUUCAUUAUUGGUUGUUGGAACGAAUAAGAACACAAUAUUUGUACUUGUCUUUUGUCUGACGAAUCAAUCAGACUAGAAUCAAUCUCAUGCAUGCAAGUUUGUUUUUUUUUUUUUUUUUUUUUUCAAAUUCUUGCCGUCAAUUUGUUUUUUUUUUUUCUUUUCUUUCUUUAAUAAAGAUCUAGUGAAUAAGAAAAAAAAAAAAGAUCUAGUGAUAGAUCUGUUUAUCGUCACGUGGACCAAAUUGUAUGAUCUAGUUUGUAGUAUUAUAAUGGAUUAGGAAUGAAUUCUUUUGCUUAAUUAAUAAUUAAUUUACACGUAUGAAGCUGUUUGUUAAUAACAACUACGGGAUUUAAAACAUGAAAAAAGAAACGAAUUGCCUUUACCAAAAAGAGAAAGAAAGAAACGAAGCGAAUUUUGGGAUAAUCAUGAUUUUCAACCAUGCAAUAUUUUAGUAUAUAUUGACAUAUAGUAUAGAUAUAUAGCAUUUUGACCUUAUAAUAUAAACGGACUCGAAUUGAGAGAUCAACUAGUAAAUUACGACCAAGCUGGUACACCUACGUAAGCGUAACUUACUACAUCAUCUCCAGAUUGAGAUUUUUUUUUUUUAAACUCAGGCACACUUCCAUCAUUACCCUUUUCAUAUGAGUUAAAUUAUGACCAACUUUUUUAGCUUCGCCGAGCUAUUCCUUUUUGGUGAUAUAAUUCGCAUUUUAUCAGAAAGAAUAAACUAUAUUGGUAAAAUGGUUUGGGCCAUUCUUAUUCAUAUCCAUAAUUCAAGUGUUGGAAAAAGCAUAAUUCUGUUGUUCCCUAAAAAGUGAAUCCCUAAUUUCUUAUAUAAUAGUACUACUAGUAUACAUGUGACAAAGAUAUAACAAUGUGAAUUCACGUGAGUGCGUUUAUCUUUACUAGUAUUUUACAGUUAUACUUCGGCACAAGUUGCACUCCUGCGAGACUAUUUAUGCCCAUGCAAUGCAAGUAGCAUUUAACUUUUAAUUCCGGCACAAGUUUAACUUUUUACCUUUUUUAUUUUGUUUUUUAAGUAGCAUUUAUAACUUAUCUUUAGGUUAUGCAAGUAGGAUUAUUAAUUUGUCUAUUUUGUAUAGAAUUCUUCAAUAUUUUUUACAUGCACAUUCUACCUAUUUUUUAUAACAGCACCUUCACCUAAUUUUAUAUAAGAUAACUACAGAAACUUGUAUGCACAAUUGAUAUUUGAUAACAAAGUUUUUUUUUUUUUAAUUUGUACAACAAUUUGAUAUUUAGCUAAAAUUAUGGGUUCUUAAUUGAAUUGUGAAGCUUAUAUCAUCCAUUAAUCUCUGUCUUGAUUCUCUCUUUAGUGAUAAAUGAAGAUAUUUUGGGAUGCAUGCAUAAAGCAUUGUGUAUAUGCACGCAAAUAGAUUUCUAAUGAACCUCUUGUUUUAUGAAGCUUUUAGCAUCCACUCCGACCAAACUCCUCCAUUCGUUUUUCGGAAGUUUAUACUAUUCUAAAGCCAUAUGGUUGAAAUAUGAUAUUCACUAAUGCUAACCAAUAGUCUCUCAUUUGACAACUACGGACUGCCAUGCUUUUUUAGUUAUUAUUGAAGUUUCCUCUAGUUUACAUAAAAUUUAUACUCCAGUUGGUAAUUAAAGAUGGUUAUAACAAAAAGCAAAGGUAGAUAUAAAUCAAUUUUUUCUUUAAAAAAUUAUAUAACCAUCUUUACACCUUCGCAUACUAACACGAUGGUAAUAUUUUUAUUUAAAAUGAAAUAAUUCCCUUUAACUAAAAAAUAGCUCCUGUACAGUGUACACUAUAUAUGUAUAUUGCUUUUUCAAAUUCUACGUACCCAAUUACUUCAAUUUCUUAUUAGCUUCAUUAUUAGCUUCAUUAUUAGUAUAGAGAUUACUCCCUCUGUUUCCUAUUAAUUAUUUUUAGGGAAAACAUUGUUUCAAAAUAUAUAUCUAAUUUUUAAACUAUAGAUAUACGUUAUUAAUUAUUAAUUAAGAAUUAAAAAUUUCAAGGAAAAAAAACUAAAUACUUUUGGUUUAAGGUUACAGAACACUGUAAAUCACAAAAAGUUAUGCAUUUGAAUCAACUUAUAAAUGGUUACUUAAUAUGUGUAAAAAAAUCUAAAAAUAGAUUAACUGGGAAGAAAAAGAGUAUACAUUAUAUUACCUCUGUUCCUAAAAAAAAAAAACCUCUGGGAUUUCUUUUGUUCCAUUACGUUUAAUUUUCUGUACACUUUUGAUUAAUAAUAUUAAGAAAUUGUAAACUUCCAGAAGUAAUCAUUGAGAAUAACUAAACUGUUAUUGGUUUAUAAUGAAAACAAUAACUUUUUAGUGAAACAAAUUAAUAAUGUGUUUGAAUUUGAGUGUGAAAAGUGAAACCCUUUAAACAUUAGCUUUUAAGAAAUACAAUGAAAUGUUAUAAAUAUGACUUAUUUGCCAACUAAAUAGUUACAGCCCAUGAAUAGAACGUGUUCAAUAUUUUAAAAUUAUAGUUUAUAACUGUCGUACAUGUAUGGUUUCAUUGGACGACUAACGUCUUUAUCAAAAAAAAAAAAAAAAAAAAAAAAUUGGACUAACGUUAGAUUUUGCUGGAUUUUUUAUUUUUAAAAAAAUUAGAAAAGUCCGUGAGUGGAUUCUUCGAACAGUAUUGGUUUAAUCAGUUAAGUUAAAUUAAAAUGUCCUUGAGUAUAGUAAUUUAAUUAGAACGUGCUGGUUAUAUAUUAAACUUAUAUAGAAGCCUGAUCUGUGUCAUUGGGAGUUUCUAGAAGAAUUUGGGUAGAAUUUGCCAUUUGGAGAUAUCGCAUAUAUAUCGAUGAUGACUGAUGGUGCAGAGUAACAAAAUUUUGGAAAUAUAUAAUUCUGUACAUGUUUUUUGUUUUUUAAUAAAUAAUCACAUAAAACCAUUAAACACGAAUUCGUGAUUUGGAAAUCCAAUUUAUAUAUGGGAAAGAAGACUUGACCUUACUUAGUCGUGAUUGUGGUAUGUGAUUAGUUGAAAACACAACUCUAGAGUAGAACACGAAUUCAGUAUCCUGAAAUUUAAGAGCAGUCGGAUAUUGGUGUAGAUUUGCCACCAACUGGAACAUGUUUUAAAUCCUUGAUGAAUGUAUCGAUGUCACCAUUCGGAUCUCUUAUGCCGUAAGACAAUGGAAACUUCUUCUUCCAACAUAACCGAUCUCUUCCGAGCGCACCACUGCUCCACAAAAAACAGUUCCUUGAGACUGCAGCCAUCUUUACAUCUUUCUUCAUCAUAGUUUAAGUACCUCUUGUGUAGGUAUUUACAUCCGCGUUUGAGGUUGCGGUUUGGUUAUUCUCUGGUCCACAUGUUUGCAUCUUAAAAUCCGGUUUACAUUCACAUCUCGGCCUUUGUUUUUUUUUGUCAUCUCAAUAUUACUAUAUAUACAAGUACCCUGAUUCGUUGAAAACCAAUAAUUAAAUAACCAGGAUUCUGAGGAUCUUUGGUGUUACUUGAGUAGUACGAAAAGUAAACAUCUGUUUCUGCAAGUGUCUCGCUGUUGAGUGUAAGCAGCUGCAGAUCUCCGUCAUCGCCUAAACAUAGCCUGAAUCUUCCUUUUCUCUGUUCUGCGAGAUAAAAAAAUAUUAGGAAAAAAAAAGAAAAAUUCUUUUGUCGCUAAAACUAUUAGGAAAAUUCUUUUAUUACGUUUGCGUUUUCAUAUUUUCAUUAGAUAUAUCUGUAAUAUUAAACACAAACUUUAAUCAGUCACACCAGUUAAACAAUAAUUGAGGUCACAAUGGAGGUCUGUGAGAUCUUACUAGUAUAUCUUGCGAUGGUAUGCAAUAAAGACUUACCUGAGUAGGUAACAAAGUGUCGGUGGGAUUAGCUAGUGUUUGUGCUUGCAGAAGAAGAAUAAGAUGGAUUAUUUAACAAGAAAGAAUGAAACCAUAUGGAGAGAAUGAAACCAUCCUUUGGUUGGAUCUUGCGUAACCCGAAAGCGAAGUCACCGGAAAGGGAACGCCAUGAACUGGAGAGUUGUUGGGACACGGAAGCAGGUGAGAGAUCCUCCGAAAGGAACAGAGCCGUUUAUGAUGUUCUGAGACAAUCCAACAAGUGUUUUUAGUUGCAGGACAAGAACAAGUUGUAGUAUCAAACAAGAGAUAAACCGCAUUUUGCUUGACCAAACAUCUACGUACCGGUUAAAUUUGUGUCCGUGAGUGUGUAUAUAACUAUAUAUAGAAGGUUUAAUGUUGAAUUGUUCGUUAUAACUAAACGUCUAAGAAACGUUAAGAAGACGAGUCUAGACUUUUUGUUCUUUCACUGAGUCAAACAGUCAACAAACCAGAUUUUGGAAGAGUGAACAGAGUCUUCUCUGGCGACAAAAAAUAAAAAAGAACAGAGUCUUCUCCUCCAUACAUUAAUUAAGUCGUGAACAUGUGUUAUACAACAUGAUAGCCUACAACAUUAUAUAAAUUUUGGUGAACGCAAGUUAUCAUUUAUCAACAUUCUUUAUUGGACUCACCAAAUAUAAAUUUUUACAUGUUGGUGAAACAACAUAUAUAAUAGUAUAAUUUUUAAUCGUAAAAUCAAAACAUAAAAAUAAGUUGAAAUAACAAUCAAUAUCUUUCAGUACUAAAAAUGGGAAAUCUAUGUUAUUAAUGACCCCAUUUAGUAGUCAACCAUCGAAAUAUAUAUAUAUAUUUUUAAUUUCGAUUUAUUUAGGGUUUCUUAAAGUUGAAGAAAAUCUAUAUGGAAAAUUACAUGAUUUAAAUAGGUGCACUGAACAAUUUUAUAAAAAUCUUUCUAAAUAUAGCAUCUGUUGAUCAAACGAUGAAAGAUUGUAGUGAAAAAAAGAAAGAUAAAGACUUUUUUUCGCUAUGCAUUCACGAAAAUAAAAAUUUAAACGUUUCGUCCAUCCACAAUCACACCAUUUAUUUUGUCGGUACAUAAUUCUAUUCAACCAGUGAUCCUCAAUUUUGAUUAUUUGACCAAUUGACUCUGUAACGUACUCAGGACUUUCACAAAUAUUCACUUUUUGUUAAAAUUAAUAUAGUUUUUGAGCAUAUACAUAUACCAGCAUAUAUAGAAUCUCGUUCUUUGUUGGCUUACACACUUAACAAUCUAUACAUAGAAGUAGUUUGUACAUGCAUAAACACUAUUAUAUAUAUAUAUACCGUAUUAGAUUGUUUAGCAAAUUUUGAAUAACUAUCAUAUUCGUACAAACUUUUUCUAAUAUUUCGAAAGUCACAAUAAUCAUUUGUGCCAUGCGGUACCUUACUGCGACAACUUUAAAGCGCAACAUAAUGGGCACAUUUACAAUAAGAGUAAAAUUGAGAAAUUCGAAUAUGAGAUUUUCAUAAAAGCGUUAAACAUAGUGAGCACAUUUACAAAAUGAUAGAAUAUUGAUAAAUUGCGUUCACCACAAUAAAAGAAAAAGAGUUACAUCAUUCAUGAGAAAUCAUUUACCAAGAUAUAAAUCUUUGUGAUCUUAAGAAAACGCAGUCGAUCGAAUCUAAUGAUCAUAUAGCUAAUACGUACGUAGGUCUUGACAUUGGAAUUUCCAUCAUACAUAUAAAACAUGAUUAGCUAAUUAAAACAUAUAUCAGUAUUAAUAAUGAGUAUUAAGGUCACCAAAAAACUGCUGAUAUAUGUUAUGAAAAUAUUAAACAUUAAUUAUAUAGUAUCAUGUAUAAUUAUAGAUAGAGAGAUAUGAUAAUUCUACUCAUUCGUGGUGGUAGGGCGUAACAUCCAAGCCGGAAGAAGAGAGUUUGGUUCUGUCAACGACGGUGCACUGCCGUUCUCUCCCUCAACUCUCUCCACAAAGUCAUCUCUGUCCAUUUAAUAGUAAAUUCAUCAGAACUUCAUACAAACAUAUAUGUUUAAAUUAUAUGCACAGUACUGCACAAUUAAUCAACCUGGAAAAAUCUAUAGUUUGGGAUAUUACUGAUAGAUCAGAGAAAGAGACCUGGAGGAGCUUAAGCAGUAUUGGGGCAGAAGAACUGAACAAGAGUUGGAGCAUUGGUUUAAUUGUCCUUCUUGCUGAUCCGUUUUCUUCUCCCUCUCCUUAAUCUAUAUAUACUCAUUGUUUUGCCAUUAGUUAGUAAUAUUACAUUAGUCCUAAAUCUACACUUGCAUGAGUUGUAUAUAUGUUUUGUUUUAGAUUUUACUAUAUAAUAUACAAUAUUUUAUUAGUCAAAUUUUCUUUUUAAAGUUUUCUUUAUACUACCAUUAGAAAAUUAAUCACUUUAAAUUUUACGGGCAAAUGUUAUAUAAGCAUCUGAUUGAUAUAGAUAACUAAUUUAAUCAGCUAGUUAGCUACAUAGAAAAUAACAACUGAUCGUCCUAUUAAUUAACUCCGAACAAUGAAUGAUAACUAUUUCUAAUGCUAACCCCAUUCGUUUAGAGUACAUCUAUAUACACUACGUUAUAUAAUUCACUACUAAUAUAGAAAUAUAUAUACUCAUUGGUCUAUUACAUUUUAUUUAUAUAAUACUGAUAUAAAUUUUUGUAAAAUUCUAUAUGUAGUAAAUAGAGACACACAUAUGUAUAUACACACAUAUUCUCAUAUUAUUAUGGUAUAGCUAGUAAUAAAAUAUUGUUAAACAUAUAUAAUUUUCUUAAUUAAAAAAUUGGUGAGAUGACAUACUGAAGUUAUAAAUUACAGUAUUUCAUUUCACAACUUUCAACUCAUUUAUUACCAGUUAAUUCAAAUUAGAGUCGUACCAACCUUUUUGAGAAGCGAAUUGUUAUGAUCUUGCAAAGCCUUAUCCUAAUUAAUAAAAUUAAACAAGUAAGUAAUUUCUGAAAGAAAAAAAACACUGUGGAACAAUAGUUUUUGCAAUAAAUAGGUUGCUCAUAUAUAUAUGCAGACGAAAAGUUGACAUUACCUUCUUCUGAAGCGCAGAUAUGGAUUCGAACAUUGCUUGGUUCUGCGAUUAAUUAGCCAAUGUUUUAAUAAAACAACAUGUAUAUAUUUCAAACUUGAUGAGUUCCAUUGCAAAACUCAAAAUUUCUAUCUACAGCUUUCAUUACGUAGGUAGAUUAUAAGUAUCAACGUUCCUCUUUUACCUUUCUUGACCUAAUGCUCUUGAUAGCAGCAUCGAGCUGAUGCUCCAAGCUUUGAAGCUCCUUUAAGCUCAACGAAUCGAGAUCUUCCCCCAUGAAAUUCCUGCACAUUUUCCUUUUGAGACUACUGUUUUUACAAGAAAAUUGUACGUGCAUGCUUGUUUUGCUAAGGACAUGCAACCUUGUACAAGUACAACAAUAUUGCUACCUUCCCUACCUUGAGAUACCAAGCCGUAGCUAGUAUUUAUGAUAAAAUUUCCUUAAAUAAAUUGAACUUUACGGAGGAGUCAAUAUUCAAAUCGCAAUUUUCCAAUAAUUACCAUAUACUAACCAUAAGUAAUGAGAAAUUGCGUAUGCAUCUCUUAUUUAGUUAUGUGUUAUGUUACUUAUGUAUUAGAAUAUUUUAACAGUAAUGACUACGUACGGUAAGCGGUAGGAUACGUCAGAAGAUUAUGUUUAAACCCAAAAUUUUGUUAAGUUGGGACAAGUAUUGUAAAUAUACUUUUACUUUAAAUUUGAUAAGCACACAAUAUAUAUAUAUAUAUAUUUGACAUUAUGCACUAUAAGGUUAUAUGGUACGAUACAGGUAUCUAAUGUAUGUAUAUAUACCUUUUGUUCUUCUCAAGUACCUCAACUCUUGCCUUGAGCUUAGCAUGUUCUAGAACCCAGUUUUCCUACAACAUUGGUAUAUGAUGAUAAACACUAGUUACUACAACAAAGAUACAUAAUUAAGUAGGACUCAUGAACAUAAACAGCUAAACUAAAGAGACAUAUGGGUAAACUUACACUCUGCGAAACUUCUCGGCCAACAAGUUGUUUGUCUGAGUAUAAAUAGCGAUCAUAGCGUUCAAGUAUCCUUUCCAUGCUAGAAUUCAGAAAAAGUCAACAUUUAAUUAUAAUUUGAUAAAUCAUUAUAAUUUCACAUGUUACAAUAAUGUGUAACAAUUGUUGCAAAGUGCCAGCCAAAAGUUUACCUCGUUUAGUAUACCGACAAAGGAUAGCUAAAAAUAAGCAUAUAACACAAAAAUGUAUAUAAAACCUGGUUUUGGUGAGUCCAGAAACAUCACAGAAAACAUACGUACAAAUUCAAUUUAAAGAUUCGAAUUUCCCUCCUGACUCGGUUACCAAAGCAAAAUGGUUUGAUCAUUAUAUAUAAAAAAAUCUCUAUAUAUAUGAUCGUACAAAGAAACAAUGUAUACACUUACACAAAAUGCAUUUAUAUCAGUACGAACUUAGAAAUAUGUUUAACGUUAUGUUAUUGUCCACUGGAUUAUAGCACAUCCUUGUAAAUGCUUUAUUUCACCGUUUCAAAUCAAUCUUUCUUUCAAAUAUAUGCUAAGACUAAUAAGUAUUUAGUAUACAUGUUAUAUACAUCUGCGUACGUGUCUGUGUGCACGUGGUUCCAUACAUCAAAAGAGGCAAUCAAAUCGUGAGUCGGUGUACUAAGUUUCAUAAUUUUAUGCUAUUUUUAAUUGGAUAGAGAAAAUAAAAAUAAAACAUAAACAGCUUCUUUUUUCAUGCGUCCGUACGUAAAAUCCCAAAAAAAAAAACCCUAAUUUCUCGAGCCACUUCUUAGGGAACAAACAAAUCUACAGUAGAUAUGAAAGACCAAGCUAGAUACAAGAUUUGGAUUUAGUUCCAAGGCUGUCGACGAUCGAGAUCGAGACGUACGAAUGAAAAAAAAUAAAAAAAAAUAAUAAUAAUAACAAUAACAAAAUCUGGCUAAAUAUCGAAAAAAAUGAUAGGAUAUGAUCGAUGUGAUAUAUAAUUUAUAAUAAUUUAGAGAGAAGAAAAAAGGAAAAAGGAAAAAUUACCAAGAGUCGGUGGAAUAUUCGAAGAGUUUGCCUUUGGAAGAGAAGACGAUGAGAGCAACCUCAGCAUCGCAGAGAACAGAGAUCUCAUGAGCUUUCUUGAGCAAACCAGACCUUCUCUUGGAGAAAGUAACUUGCCUAUUAAUCUUGUUCUCUAUCCUCUUCAGCUGAACCCUACCCCUCCCCAUCUCUCUCUUUCUCUUUCUAUCUCUCAAACACCCUCUCCUCUCAAAGAACAAGAAAGAGAAACGACAACCCUGAAAUGACCAAAGUAUAUAUCUCUCUCUCUAUCUUUCUUUCUUAUGUCUCUCUGGGUAUCUUUUGUGUUGAAUGUGAUAAUAGCUAAUUUUAUUUUAUUUUAUUUCUUUUAUUUUUCUUCUUUUCUCAUGUGUGGGACUUUUUUUGUUGGGUUUCGCGUGAGUCCACAGUGACGUAAGUGGUGUGGUAUAUAAAUACGCUCUGUGACGUGAAUACAUACAUUAGACGACGAUUGGUAUUUGAGGAAAAAAAAUAAAGAAAUUAAAAAGCCAAAACAUAGAGUGGGAAGAGACCAGAGUGGGGGAUAAAGUUUAAGGGCUGUUUGGGAAAUAAACUGUUUGAUGUGUUGUCGACCUCUCAUUGGUUCUUUUAUUUUUUUUUAUAACUCGUUCGUUCGUUCGUUAGUUUUGUGCCUCCAUUUAGCUUACAUUAUUUGUCCGUACCGUACGGACAACCUUGUUUUUAAGGUUGAGAAGAACACAGACCAAGAAGAACUCAAUGUUGGUAUUAAAGGAGUAUUACUAUUACAAAAAAAUAAAAAACAUAUAUAUAUAUAUAUAUAUAUAUAUAGGGUUCAGAAUCAGAAUGCAAAUUGUAUUUGGGGGAGAUGAAUUUAUUUUUGCAUGGAGAAAAAACACAUUUAAUUUAUUGAAGGAUGAGUUUCUGACUUCCUUAAACGCAAACACGGAGAAACAUUGAUAGGAUUUUGAAAGUAUAUUUAUGUUUGAUAAACUUAAAGUUAGACAUAAGAAUUUUUUUAACAUAUAAUAUAUACACACACGUAAAAAUCAGGCGGAAGUUUUUAAUGUUUGCAAAUUGCAAUCAAAGUGAUAAACCUACGCAAACUAAAAGAAAUAUAUAAGCUAGAGGCAAUAAUAUUCAGCUGCUGAUGAACCAACAAAACUUGCAUAUAAUAGACGGAGCUCAUUCAAGAGAUCGGCUUGCGAUGCAUACAUUACAUUGUUGACAUUGACAAAAGAAAAAAAGAAGAGAAGAAAAUAAUAAUUCAGUUGAUAAUUAUAAUUUCUCUUUUGACCAAAAAGAGUAGCCUAUUUAUGGGAAGAGAAUCUCAAACGUAUGAUACUCUCAAUGUAGGAAAAGUCUCCUAAGGCUAAUAUAUAUAUUUACCAUUUUCUUUUACUCCUUUAAAUAACAAGCCAAGGUACGUGUAUCAAUUGUUUAGAACUAUUGGAAUUGGGUAGAUGGCUUUUUCAAAAUUCAAUGUAAGGGUUUUCUUAAAGAUCCUUCAAUGCUUUACUGGUAAUGUACUAUAUUGUAGUCAAUGUAAGAACAUUAAUACUGCUGUUAUAUCUUAAGAUAAUUAAUACUACCUCUCUUUUCCCUGACAAUUAAUAACUCUAUAUUAAUACUAGUGUGUUGUAGGAUUAAUUAAACACUAAACACUAAACCCUAAAGCUAUUCUAAUUUUAUGACCAAAUAAUUUCGUCCGAAUUAAGGUUCAACUUUUUUGAGUGGUUAUUGAAUAUGGUACGUGUUCCGAUAGGAUAUUAACAUAACAACAUUCAUGUCGGGUCCCAUGACUAUUAUAGGUCUGCCCUCUGUGUGAUUUCGAUACACACACUACUACACUAACAUAUAUUGCCAUAUUGGUCUGAAAAGUGAUAUCUAUUUUAAGAUUUGGUAACUGAUCCAAUGAAUUGUUAACUGAUACCCAGUAUUACCUAGUUUUGUACAUUAACACACAAAAACUAAAAAAAGAUUGAAUAUCAAAAAUAUUCAUCGAAGUUCAGUUGAGUUACAGAAUCGAAAAUAAUACUUGGUGUGGUUCCGAUACAAACUAUAUAUAUAUAUAUAUAUAUAUAUAUAUAUAUAUAUAUAUUAUUACUCUCUAGCUAUUGUUAUUGUUACUCACUUACUGUUCCUAUCAGAACUGUGUGACUGUGGCUGAAGGGCUUGUCUUUCCUCCUCUACCCGAGGCUUUCUUUCUACUUCUUUUGUACUUCAUGUUGGUCUUGUAAAAAUAAAGUUUCUAUUUCAAAAUAAAUAAAAUAAAAAAACUUAACAGAAACAAUGACACGCUUUAAUAAAGAAAAUUAUUGUACUUUUUAAAGUUUGAAAGCUGUGAUAAAUUGUGGUAUACAAUCCUAAAUCUAGAUUUUUUUAUUUUAUUUCAACAUAUCUUAUAAUGAUUUGUUUUCCUUCUUCUUCUUCUCUAGUUUAAUGGUUUCAGUUGCUCAGCUGCUUCAUGUACUAAAGAAAGCAUUUUAACUACAACAAAAAAAAGUUGUCAAUUGUACGUCUCUUGAGAAGCAAAAUUAUUGAGAAAAUAUUUAAUUUAUUAAUAAGAAGAUUUCAUCACUAGAAUUUUGGGUAGGAAUUGAAAGUUAUUCUUGGUGACAUAUAUAAGUAAAAUAAAGAAACAUAUUAUUCAAGUAAAAAAAUAAAAUAAAGUAUAAGUCUAUACGAUCGCUGUAAAAAAAAAAAAAGUCUAUACGAUCAUAUAUAUAUAUAAUAUGUAGACAUGUAGAUAUAUGUAUAUAUAUAAGGGUGCUUGGUAAGCAAAAUUAUGGCAUAGAGAAAUACUCGUCCAAAGAAAAAUGUAUUAUAUAUAGAGUAUAUAGUAUAUACCAAAAUUGGACCACAUGAACAAAAAGAAAUGGACCACAUUUGGGUGUUGAUGAGCCCUAAACAUGUAAAUGGAUGGAUAGUACCUAAACGUAUUUAAUUUCUCUGAAUCGUUAUUAACAUAAAUUUGGCUCUCUCUUUAGUACGAUAAAUGUUUGGCCUCUUAGAUCAAAACUUUGGAUCUUUAUUUCUGCUUCAUACCUUAUGUGAAGUCCACAUCUCAAAGACCGCAUAUAUUAUAUCGCACGUUGUCUUGUCAACCUUAUAUACCAAUAUAUAGUGGACAUAAACCUCAUAUUUUCCAUUAUUAAUAUUUAUAGCGAAUCAUCCUUUUGUGAAAUUUGAAAUUUUAGAUAUCAAUCGUUAAAAGCUUUUAAUUUACGAACAUACAUACAUAUGUCAACUUAGGACCAUUUUAACAUCACGCCUUGUCUUUUUUAUUUUUAUGUGUGUGACCACACUCGUACAUGAUCAUUCGUACGCAUAUAGUAUGGUGAAAACUGAAAAGUGAAUAUAUAUUGUAUCUCUAUGCCAAAAUAUUUUGGCGUGAAAACAAAAUAUUAAGAGAAGUUUAUUUUAUAAUAAGGGCCUUCAUCAAAAUUACAAUGUUCUAUAUUUCGUUUGGUGAAACUUGAAUUUCUUCUAUUUAACUCACAAGUUUGUGCAUGGUAAUGAUUUUACCGUAAGAAAUAUCAAAUUAACAUCUUUAAUUUAGUACUAUUAAUUAUAUAUAGUUACUAAUUAUAAUAGUAUCAAGUAUUCUCUUCGCUUGGAAAUAUUCGAACUUGGGAAAAAGAAUUCACCGUCUUUGAAAGAGUUAUGCUAUCUAAUCUAAUUUUGAAUAGGAAAAAAAAUGAACACAAAAAAAGAAGAAGAAAACUAACUCUCAACCAAUAAGCAAGCAAAAGAAGCCAUUAUUUUCUAAUAUUGCUGAAAAAGGCCAGUUUCCUUUUAUCGAAGUUAAUCAGGAGGAAUCAAAACAUGACACGUUAGUUGAUAAGCCCGUUGAGUUUAUAAAACCAUUCGACAGGGAUGAUGAUUAUGAAUAAAAAAUCUACAGUGUUGAUACAUCUUUUGAUAGGAAAAAGACAAAAGUACUUAUUGGAUUUGUCAUCCUAGAAAACCUGUGGGGGGAUUUAUCCGUGUGAAACUUUCUUUUAAUAUGACAACGACAUUUAUUUAUGUUGUUAGGGAUUAAUAAGUUGUUAAUUUUCCUGGAAUCCCUAACAACAUCAAAGAUAAUUUUCUUAUGUACGGAGUAGUUGUUAAUAAAAGUUUUGCAUUAAUUUUUUUUUUAUGAUAUAAUUUAAAAUCAAAAUUUUAAGAAAGAGUCAUAAUUUGCUAUAGUGAUACAAAUAUCGUUAAACCAGGAAAAAAUUUAUACAUAUAGCAUCAAUCGAUAUGUAAAAAUGAUACAAAUUCUGAAAUAUAUUUUGUAAGAUCGUAAUUCAUAUUUUUAAGUUUAUUUUUUUCUUCUAUUCAAAAUGUAGCACAAACUUAUGUACUGCAAGCUUAUAUGAAAUAGAAAAUUUUAUUUAUAGACUUCCCUUAUCAACACACAUCCUAUUUUCAACGUUUUGUUCAGAUGCAUGGAUGUUUAAACUAAGUGAAUGGACACACUUAUGAUGGUAUGGUUUGAAUACUGGUUCAAGUUACUUGACAUUUUAAUGUGGUAUCCCUCUUUUGUUACUUUCACGAAUUUUUUGUAUUUCUUAUCUCCGAGGAAGAACAAAUGUUAUGUUAAUCAAGAUCUAUAAGGAUCGUUCACUGUCUUUUAACCUGCUUAUCAUGCAUCUACAUAGAGAUAUGUACACACAUUAUAACUUCAUGACUAUACGUUAUACAGAGAAGGGAAUAAUGGAAGUUUCACUCACACAUACUUUAAUUUGAGUUUUAUUUUGCUUUUUAUAUAAAUGGAGGGGUUGGUGAUAUUAGGGUUUAGAUGCAAAUAUGGAAUCGACAACGCACACAAACUUUUCUAAAGCAACUUCUCGCUUUGUCUCAUUUUGGAUGAGAUUCUCUCUGCCACACAACUAAAUCAAUGUUCCAUUUUACGAGUCCCCCCAUUAUCUCUUCCUAUUUCCCUUUUUUAUUUUAUUUUAUUUUGUGCUUUCUUUUUUGGUAUUGAUACCAACAGAUUCCUAAUCCAAUAAUUAUUUUUUUUGAAAGUCACAGCUCAUACAAUAUAUAUUUUCUUUUGAUUUUAAACUCAAAAUAAUUCUUUCCCAAAUAUAUUUUUAUUAUUGAAUAAUAUUUCAUUCUAGUAAAUAAUAAAAAUUUAAUUGAAUGUAUUAAAGAGUUUGUCAAGACUCAAAACAAGACUAACAAAAAAAUACAACAAAUGUAAAAAUAAUGAGUAUCUUCUUAAGAAGAAACUGGGCCUUGUUGAAGUCCAUUAAUAAGUAUUUGAUUAUUACAUAAGAUGUCCCCAAAGUGCUCAGGCCUUUGAUUUUUUCUAACCACUUUUUAGUACAUGACCCAAAUAUUAUUUAUAUAUAUAUAUAUUUUUUAACGGUAUAAUGUAUAAAUUGAAAAUUUGCCAAUCCAAUGCGUUUUAAAAUAGCGAAAUCAUUCUUGAGUGUGUUUAUUUAUACAGUUUUACACGUUUUAUCUUCUUAAAAUUUUCCUCAAGUAUUACAGAUUUAGAUCACAGUAAGCCAGUAAAUGUAACAUAAAAUUUUACACUAGGAAAAAUAAAAGUUUACAAUAUAUCUUACAUGAUGGUGAUCUUUUUUCCGUUAUUCUUCUACAAGGACAGAUUAAACAAUAUUACCGAACACAAAAGAUAUAAUAUGAAAAAGAAAAAGCCAACGAAGUUGAAAACUAUAUAUAUAUUGAGGAAACAAAAAAAAAUUGUAUCGAAAGAUUUAUAAUUUAUAUAGGACAACGAAAGAAUCAUAAAGUAAACGUUUAUACCAGUGGCAAAACCGUAAAUCGGAGAAUUAAGCGGAGAAGAAGAAGAAGACAAGAACAGGGAGGAUCACGGCGGCGAUGAAUGAGAAUUUAGGCCGGAAAGCACCGUUGGGAAGAAAAGGGUAAGAGUCAGGAGGAGGCAUGACGCAAUUGUCUCCAUUGAAGUAAAUCCUGCGAGGAAAAGCCCAACCUUUUUCGAAAGUGAAGGUUGACAGAUCUUUACGGAACAAAAUCUCUGAUUGAACAUUCCCAAGCGGCCCUGCUUCUGAUAAGAAAUCAUUGUAGAACUUCACUCCCCAUAACAUUGCUGUAUCGUCUGCAAAUACCAAGUUCAAUAAAGGUUAAGUCUUUUGAGUUAAGGAGACAGAGAGAAGAGAAGAGAGGAGCUUUCUCUCUUUGUUUGUGUGUGUGUGUGACUCUGCUUACUUAAUCCGGCGUAAGGAGUGAGAGAUUUGUAAUUGAAACUGAAGAUCUGAGUGAUGUUGUCCAGAUUUGGGUGUUGAGCUACGAGGUUCCAUUGUGUGUAGUUCAAUCGAUAGUUGAAGUUUGUGAUUGUGAUCUUCACUCGCCAAUACUCUUUGUAGUUCUGCUUCACGUGCCAAUGCACACGGAUCGGGCACAUGUGUCUUGUGCAUUGUACUAGUGGCGGUAAUAUCACUCCUUUCUUUGUCGGCGGUGACACAACUGAGGCCAAGUGUGGUGUAUCCGGGCUGCCAUUAUCAUUUAAAAGUUUGAGACUUUAUGAUUAACAAUUCUACAGAGACAAGAAAAGGAAAACUGAUUUGAAUAACUUACUCGAGGCAGGCACCGGAUUCUGUUCUGUUGUUUUGGCAUCCGCAAGCACAAGUUGGACAUCCAACAAUGGUUUCAUUGUAGAAAGACGAUAAAGAGACGCAGCAAGUCGGAGUUCUUUGAGCAAGGAACUGCGAGUAUGUGCACGUAAUGUUCCAUGUCACUGCGGUAAUUCAAAUUUGACCCGUCUGUUAGAUUAGAAAUAAUGUAAACAUUACGGUUCUAAAAAUUCCAGCAGCAUUCUUAGUUCUUACUCAUAGCUUGAGUGGUUCUGCGUGUGUCCGUUGUGACAAAUUUAGUUGGUCUGACAAUCUUUGCUGGGCCACAAGUGUAGCCUGGACCAGGUCCCAUGAGAGUGAAGUUUCUUGGCACCCGAACGGUUUUGUUUGUGGUUCCAGCCGCGCCAACACUGAUCUGGAAGGAGCUAGCUGCAGUAGCAGGGUCCUGAACCCAUGAGUUCAUGACACCGCCUUUGCAGCAAUUUGCAAUCUGCUGAUUAUAAGGAGUCCCCGGGAGCAAAUCUACAACUGUUGGAUCUUUCUUACAACAAUGUGGAAUGUUUCCUUUGUACUUUGAACAAUCACCUGUUAAACAUUACAUCGAUAAAUCAUUUACGGAUAAUUUGCAGUCAUAAUACAAGUUGCUAGAACUUGAAACAUUCAGUUACCUUGCUCGGUUGUUUGUGCUCCAACCAUACUCCAAAUAACUUCCUUCUUUGCCCAUUUCCAACCUAAUGUCCAUCCCGGAGACUGAAUGUGUCUGUAUUUCUGGAAGUUGAACAUUGUAACAACAGCCUGGAUAGAACACAAAAACAGUUUAGCUGAAAAUGAUUUUAAAAAGGCUAAUCUUUUUGUUAUAGUUCUUAAACUUACAACAUAGCCAUCAGGAGUCCAGCUCAUGACAUCCCAUUUCAUUGUAAUGUUCCCUUCUGGAUCAAGCGCAUCAUAUGCUUCUGCAAAAUAAAUUACCAAAAGUCGUCAGAACUUUGUUUAUCCUGAUUCACCUUUACUCACAAACACAGUGAUUGCUUAAUCUCAACAUUAUUAAUAAAUUGCUUUGUAGAGUUAGACCAACGAACUCAACUAGUAUCAAUCAAAAUUACUACUUAUAGAACUUUUCAGAAAGUUUCUAUUUUUGGAUCAGAGAACUUGAAUCUCUGUUUCUUUUUAUUUCCGCUUAUAUAAGCAGAAUUGAUUAAACAUAGGAAAGCACUAAUAUGGGAGUUGAAAAGGUGCUGAUAUGAGGAUCUGAAACACAAACCAUAAUCAUUUUAAUGUUCAUUAAUUGAGUAAAGAUCUAUACAAGAAUGAGAGAAGCAAAUCAUGAUUAGGCAAUUCAUAAUGUUUUAUCUCAAAAAGUAAAGCAGAGGAUUCAUCAGAUCUCUUUAUCAAUUCAAACAAACAAGUCAGUUGAAAUUGAAGAUCUCAAGAUGCAAGAACAAAUGAACUUGAAAGCUCAAUAAAAAAAGAGCAAGAUUGGGGAAGCUGAAGAAGCUUUGAGACGAGUAAAACAGAACAGCUGUGUGAUAAUGAGAAUAAGAAGAAAGUAACCUGUACAAGUAAAAGAAGAUGAAGAAAUCAAGAACACGAUCCAUAAGGCCAAGAAACUCAAUUUGGCGACGACGGAGGUGGAUCUGGAGAAGAAAGACUCCAUUUUGAAUCCUCUGUUGAUCAGAGCAGAGCCAGAGACUAGGCUUGUUCCAGAUCCCCUUAGAUGGGUCUGGCUAAAUCUAAAAUCCAAUCUCACAGUAAGAAGAAGAUGAGGAAGGUGCUUUGCUUGAAGGAGGAGUGGACUUGUAGAGAGAUAUAGCAACAAGAUUUUUUUUGGUUUUAGCUGUGGCGAAAAUAAAAUACGAACGAGAGAGGCAAUGAGCAAUUUGGGAUCUGGCUGGCUAGUGGCUGUUUUAGUAAACUUUUAGGCGAGUCUGAUGAUUUGACCAUUUUACCCUUAGACCAUUAUGGACUUUAAUUAUUUGAUUUCCGAUUAAAGAAACUUAACCAUCUUGUUAAUAAGCACAUUAAUUAUUCUCUUGCUUUUCUAUGCUAACUAAGUAAGAUUAACUUUAUAAUAAAUUUAAGUUCUUUGCCUCUUCUAUUUCUUUUUCUUUCUUUCUUUUUUCCCAUUCUAAGGUUUUACUAAAAUUAGUAACAUAAUCUGAGACAUUUGAUGUUGAAACUUUUUCCUCGGUGAUAAUUUAUUUGAUUUAUUAAAAACAAAUUCAUAAAGUUGGAAGUAAUUUUUUUUUCCGAUGAAUUGUUAAAAUUUCUUGAAAACUAACACUUUUAUAUUAUUAUACCUCUAAUAGAGGUUGAUUAUUAUGUUUAUGAAUGAGAGAGGGGGUAUUUAUGUAAUUUUGAUAAGAAGUUAGUUUAAUACCGGAAGAUAUUACCGAAGACGACAGCUUUAAGAGGAACGUGGGUCAUUGACAGUGUUUUCGGCUGUCGGUGGAAUGAAGAUAUAUAUAUAUAUAGAUACACGAAUAUGUGGACACAUUUUCUCAAUUUUUAUUUGGUUCGUAUAAUAAAAACAUAAUAUAUAUAUAUAUACUUCAAUACUUGUGUAAUUUUGUGUUGUGAUAACUAAGUUGUUACUACAUAAAAUUGUAACUAAUCUCCUUUUUCUGUUUUCUUUUUUUUUGUGGCAUGAGAAAUUACGAAAUAUAAAUGUGUCGGUGAGUCUCUUUACUUAGGUGACCAAAAAAACAAAGUCUCUUUAUUAAGUUAAUUAAUCUUUUAAUUAUUAUAUAAUUUGGAAGUAGUGUCGUAACAACUAUUGCAUUAUAUCAAUUUUACAAGACAAGUGGUUCUAGUCCCAACAAAAUUGAUGGAGUAUUUUUGGACGAUUAUCAAUUAAAUUUACAUAGUUAACCAUUACAAUUCCCUUUUCAACUUUAUAUUUGUAGUAGUUAGUAAAAGUUAUUCAACUAAAAAAAACUCGCGAAGUAAACAUAAAAUUAUAUUUCGAAAUUAGUUCCUCGAUGGUUAGUAAACGAUCGUUGUCAAUAUAUGUGAAGACGAUUAUUAAUUAAGACUACCAUUCCAAUAUUAUUUAAUUGCUGUGGUUACUUGUAUCGUUGCUGAUUACGUUACUUUAUGUGUUUACUUUUGUAAAGCGGAGAGUUAACUUUCUUCUAUUGCCGACACUACCAAGAACAUGAAGUUGAUCAAAGAACAGUCAAAUCUUAAUUGAUCUUCAAACAUUUUAACAAUUUUACCUGUCUGAGAGGAUUCACAACAGAAUCUGAAUUCACAACCCUAAAAAUCAUGUUUGUUAUGUCAUCACACCAAAAAAAAAAAAAAACAGGCACCCUUGGAAAGAUUUUUCAAACCCAUCUUUCUUGCAUCUCAAGCGAUGUCUCUGUUUCCUCUUUAGAUCCGACGGGUGUAGUUCUCCUUUUCAUCUGAAGUUCUACUUCCACUUGCCCUACCCGAAUUGUUCUGCACUAAACCACCAUUACCGACUACUGAUUCACCGCCGCUUUGAUCUGCGUUUCUUUCUCUCAACAAGUUGCUGCCAUUAGAAGACGCUGACCUCAUUGCCCUCGGUAGCUUCAGUUUCAUAGACUCUCCUGAGUCGCUGUUUUCCGGCUUUGUUGCUGUUUCCACCUCUAAAUCUACCGGAUUAGCUUCUUCCUGAGGUAAAGCUGGUGUUGCUGGCGGACCUACAGGAAUAAGCUGAAGCACAGUCUUCUUCCACUUCUUUCUUUGGCUUGGUCUUGGCACAUUCGAUUUUCCCUGAAACCAAAUUUCAUAAAAUCAGAAAGCUGUUGUUUCCUAACUACACGAAACAGAUAAAAGGGACUGAUCAUCAAUAUAUCGAAAAUUCUUUAGUUUUACCGUCGUGUUUCCUAUGUCUGAUAGAGGUUUUCUUCUUCUUCUUGUUCCUCCAUCAUCGUUUGUCUCCUCCCCUGGCUUGUCAGCAAGAGCGUUCUGUAGCAGCAUAGCUCCGCGUGAAGCAAGGACUUGUUGUUGUUGGUCUUUAUGUUUCUCAUCAGAUUCUUGCGAGUUCUCCCCGUUCUCCAAGGCUUCUGAUUCCGAGAUGGAAUUUUUCUGCUUCCCAUCUGCGUUUCUGUUGGAGCAUUUCACUGAAGAACAUCCACAUGACGGACCACAAGAUCCCUUUGUAGCUCGGCACUGACACUUCAUUGUCUUGCACGAGGAGCUCUUACUGCAAGUGCAACAACACACGUCAGAUGAUGAUGUGGAUUUCACUGCAUCAUCUGAAGGAGCUUCAGAGUUCUCUUCAUAUGAACGCCUCAUGACCACACUCGAGCGCCGUCUUCCCACUUUGAAGUUUCGUUUCCUAUUCAACUUUAUAGCCGAUUCCUGCUCUGAUUCACGCUCUGAUUCAAGUUCAGGUUUCCAUUCGUCAUCAAUAUCUAGAUCUUCCCGUUCAUGGUCUGACUCUUCAGAAUCUGAGGUAUCCAUGUCCUCAAGAACGAUAAUCGAGUUUCGGGUUUCCUGCUUUUUCAAAUUAUGCUCGUUGUUUCGGUUGUUUUCUGCCGACAAUUUCUUCAUCGCCGAGGUCUGUAAUAUGGAAUGCCAAUGGUUUUAUAUGCUAAAUUAAAGCUAGAAGGAUAAGAAAUUGACUAUAUAAUGAAACAAGAUAGAAGAUGUUUUCAACUUACCAGUGCUUUCACCUGAUGCACGAGGUCUGAUUUUUGGAUCUCCAUGUACCUAACAUAACUGCUAAACUUUACUAUUUUUUCUUUCAGGUCUCUUAUAAGGACAUCCUUUUCUCUGCAGUCUGCCUCUUUAUCUCGGGCUAGACACCUUCACAGUUAAACAAAGAAGAAUGUAAGAUGAUCCUUCAGGAAGUACCUUAUUACUAAAAAUCAUCAGUCACUAAUUGGAAUGUUACCUCGCAGUUGAUGCCAGAUUGAACAGAUAGUUCAUGAUACUCUUCGCAUCACCUAAUGUUCGAACUUGGUUCCACCUCCCUCUUCCACCAAAGACACGUUCACGCUCUUCUGCUUCAGAUAACUGUGAUGCCAUGGAGACGAGAGUGUUGGAAGAGGUCGCAAGCAUAUUCUCCAGAGCAAAAAUCCUUGAAUUUCUUGCACCAGGAGACAUGGUGUCACCAUGAACGCUGCUUUGGCAGAGAAGACACAAAUUGUUUACUAUAUCUUUUUCAUCAUGAAUUGGUCUUGGUUUAUGCUAAAUUUUAGUCUUGUCCAGAUCACUCACCUUAUUUUGGCAUUCUUGAGCAGAUCGUUUUCUUCUCUUAGCCUUGCAACUUCCUUAGCCAUUCUUGCUCUCCUGAAUUAUAGCCAGUGUUAUUUAUGACAGUUUAGUAGGAAAUCACAAAAAACUUCUUCCCAGGCGAUGAAUCAUGAAAGACAUACUCUUCCAUUUGCCUCUCGUAUUCAGAACGCACUUCAUGAACCCGAACAGUGACUUCAAUCUCAUGCUCAAUUGCUUGCAUCAGUACCUGCAAAUGGAAAAACUUUGAAGUUAAAAAGAAGUUGCAUUUACAAAGUAAACCAGAACAAUCACCAAUAACUAAACUCUCUAAUUUUAGUCAGUAACUAGAAACGCAAAGCAUCAGUUUCAAAAUAUUUGGUGGGUGUUACCUGAGUUCCAGGACCAUUAACACUUGCCCCACCUGUAUAGAUAAUAGGAUACAGUAAGUAGCUUAUAUAAGACAUACAAACAAAGGAGAUCAUAGUAAUUCAUGUUAUAUAAAAAAUCCUCACUCAAUACUUCACGUGAAGACCCCUUUCGAGGUUCUAAAAGCUCUUUGAGUCUUUUUGUCACCUGAGAUGCCUCUUCUGUCUUUCUUUGCAAAACCUGAUAAAACCAGACUUUGAGCAGCCAUAAUAAUAGAAAGGAUCAAUAUUAUUGGUCGGGAGUUUAUAAAAAUGUUCUCACCAGCUUCUGUUUUUGAUUCAAGGCCAUGAGUUUGUGCAUCUCAUACUCAUUUCUCCUUCCCUCUUUUUUGAGCUGGUAAAGUUUAAUACAUGAAAAAAUCGAUGUUACAAUCCAAAAUAAUUUUCUGAAUAACCAAGUCAAAAUGUCUUGAGAAUCCUCAAAUCAAAUAUAUACAAGCACUGGUCAUAUUUGGCUACAGGUGACUAAUGACAGAAUGAAACUUGACAAGAAUCAGUAUUACUAAUCAGUCAAUAAAAUCAAGUUAGCCUCGAGUCAUCACUUAAAAAAAUUCUUAAUUCGUUUAACAGUUAGUUAGUAAAAUAUACCUGCAUGACUUCCUUCUCUCUCGAAGCCUUCCAAGCCCUGAACUGUUCUGACUCCUGCUUAAUCUUAUGCUGUAAUUGCACCUGAAAAGUAGAAUAAAAUCAGAUUAGCAUACUUAAGACACUCAUGCAUGAAUACAUAUACGAACAGGCCCGAAUAAAGAUCACUACAAAAAAUAAAAAAACACCUUCUGGGAUUUAAUUCUUUGUAUUUCAUCCUGCAAUUUUCCUGCCACAUCAUCACUUUUCUGCUUUUGCUUCAAAAGCUGAGUUUGUGCAUCUUGUUUCUUCUUCAGAACAGAAACCUAAAGGAACAAAAGACAAUGCCUUAUGAAAAUUUUCUGUGAAACACAAAUAUAACUAAUAUGUAAAACGGGAGUUACCUGUGUUUCAAGCGUGUUCAGUUUCUGAAGAUACUCUUCCUUCAGUUUCUGGGCACCAUCUCCUUUUGGUAUGCUACCAAGGUUCUGUUUCAAACCUUCAAUUUCUCUCUGCAUGAAUAUUUGAUUUAAUCAGUUAGGUUCAUAAAUUCCACUAAACUACAAUAUAAACCUCGUUAUACCAACCUGUAGUGCCCUUUUUUCCUGUUCUAGAUCAUGAACUUUUUUCUCAUAAUGUUGUUUGAGAACAGAUGUACCACCACUUGAAAACCGCUUCAUUUCAGCCUUCAUGAAAAUCAAAGUUUACUCAUACUAUCGUACGGAAACUGAGGAAAGAAUAAAAGAAGUACACUACAAAAAUGCAAAUAUACCUCCUUUUCUUCAAGUCUCUUAUCUAGCUCCUUUAGCUCCAUAUCCAACUUCUCUUGAAGUGAACAAUGCUCAAUCUCCUUUUCUUGAAAUUCAAGUUCAUCUGCAUACAAAGUAAAGCUACUCAAACAGAGAUUAAAGAAAUAAUUAUCUCGAAUAUUAAACCAGGGAAACAAUUCAGGCUAACAAUCUGCAAGUGACAAACAAAUUGUGGUUUUUAGCAUCUAAAUAUUUAAGGGCUAAGCUUCUUUCUGCAAGGCACUAAAAGAAAUGCUAAACCACUAGUUGUGGUACCAACCCGUCACAUCGAUCACUUUGUCUUCACAAUCUGACGACUCAUUAGAUGAGGGAAACAAGACAUUGUUCGAACGAGGCCCAUCGUCAUAGGAAUCAUCUGAAAAUUGGCAGUUACUUGAUUUCUUCAAGCUUUUGAUAUGCAACAGCUCUCCUUCUAGCUCUUGAAUUUUGGAAACAUACUUCUUCACCAAACCAACAUCCUGGAAAAUUAGACACUUUAGCGAAAAAAUCCAGUUGGUCGUAAAUUUCAAUGAAGGAAUCAUAAAGGACAUCUCACCUCAGUUUGGCAGUAUUCAAUCUCGUCCAAGGAUUUACCAUUGCGAACAGAUUCAAUUAUCAUUAUGAGUUUGUCCUUUUCAACCUAAAUGGAUGGGGAAAAAAGUGUUUAGGUGCUACAUGUCAUAUGGGCUAGAUCCAUUUUUUUACAAAAAUGUGUAAAAGAAAAACCUGAGCAUCAUAAGCACGCUUUGAGAAAUGCUCAGAAGCGACUCUCCGUUCUUGAAGUUCGUUUUGUAGCUCACGAUUGCUUGCUUCAAGCAGUGAUAUCUUAUGCUUGAGAAUCUAAUCAAAGAUUAUAUCAGUUAAUUAUUGAAAAUAUGACAAGCAUAAACCGUUACUGUUUGUCUUAGAUCAGAUUGAAUACCUGGAGCUCAUCAAAGGCACCACUAUCACCCCGAUAGAACAAGAGUUCUGUCUGCAGCUGCUCAAUUUGGCUCCGCAUUCUUUGCAUUUGUGCGGUUGCUGGGUCUCGAUUGAUCUAAGUAUUGCAAGAAAUUACAAGAAGUUUAGGCCAGAAAUGAAUUAUUUUGUUGAGAAUUCACAGUUAAAAGCAAGACCUAAUAUAUGCGUACCACUGCUUUGUUUUGAAUAUUACGUGCACGAUUUGCAUAUUUGAGCGUAUUCAAAGUUUCCUCAGCAUUUGUAUCAGCUGGACUUACGCAAGCUGCAACAUUUAGAGAUCAUAAAUUACGAAAUAUAAUAAGAUGGAUGAAAACAUUUCUGUCUAAUGCUUGAUCAGAAAUGAAAUGAUUUAAAAACCUAAUAGAUGAGAAACCCAUACCAAUCAUCACAGUUUUGCUAUUGCCUCCAAGAGAAUCCUGAAUAACAGAUUAUUACCAUUAGCUUUUCUUCUUCUUCAAAACCACAUAUAUACAAGGACAUGUAGUGUAAUUGACAGAAACAUAAGUAAACUUAAUACCUGAAGCAAACGAGUUAACUUGCUGUCACGGUAAGGAACAUGACCUCCUUCCUUUCUCUUUUUUUCAUCUCCAAGUGCACUAAUUACAUUUCCAAGUGCUAGUAGACCUUUGUUAAUGUGAAUACCUGUGUAAAUAUACAGAAAAUAAAACUUCUGGUUUAGCCAUAGUCUCUUUCAAGAAACCAAAAGAAUAAUAUACAGCUCAAAGAUAGACAUGAGACAACCUUCUUUCAAACGCAUCCCAUCAGCUCCUGUUCGUUUUGCACGUUCUGACCCUGCUAAAUCAACCAAAUGGAGCUUUGCACAUAAGAUGUCUUCACCACCAUCUUCAGUUGUUGUGAAAGAACCGCUGGAAAUCUUCUUUUGUUCCAAAGUGAUUGUGAAGAUUGCAUGGGACCGACUAACAACGCAAGAUUACAUUAGCAUACUAGUAAAAGCUUAUACUUUCUUAAUACUGGUUUUAUAGAUCUGAUGUAAGAAAUUUUAUCUUUAUUCAUUCAUAACUUCUACUAAUGGAUCAGCCACAUUAGUUCUAGCAAGUAUAUAAGUAGUUAUAAAGAUAACGGGAAUAAAUUUAAGUGCAAUUCAGAUAAACAAAUUCACCUUGAUUGGCUAUUCAUGUUUGUGCUGCCAGUAGCUCGGGACAAAGAGCCGCGUGCUAGAAAAGAGCCCAUCUCCUCUUUCGUCUUGACUUCUGCCUCAGUAACGCCAGCCAAUGUUAUUCCUCCACUGGCAGUUUCUCUGAUUUGAAUUGGAGCUCUUGAGAGGGCAAUGUGCUUUGCUUGAACCCCAGUGUCAUUUUUUUGGAGAGCCGAGGAAUUUGAGUCAAGCAAAUCGAAAACUUCUUCCUUGAAAAUCUGCAUCAACAGGUAAAGUAUCAGUACUGAAAUUUACAAAUUAGACCUCGAAAAACAAGCUCCGAAGAGGGUUUUACCUCAAUAAAAGACACUCGUAUCAAUAGUUCAGAUGAAUCUUUGGUGGUCUCCACUCUUCUAAAUAUAUCUUCCAUAACGUUUGGUAUAAUCCCACCAUUUGUGCCAUCUCCAUUAUAAUUGGUACCCAUGGUGUAGGUUUUUCCUGAACCAGUCUUCAAUAGCAACAAACAGACAAAGAAAGAAUCUGAUCGGUUAAACUUAAAAAAAAAUAGCUUAAAGGAAAUGCAGAGUUGAGAAAAUUUACAAAAUCAAACCUGGCCGUAAGCAAGAACAGUUGCAUUGUAUCCUUUGAACAGCGCGUCGACAAGUGGAGCAACGCAAUGAUCAUAAAUCUCUGAACACGGGUAGCCAGCAUUUCCAUAAACGAAAUCAUAAGUAAAAGUAUGUGAGCCAAUAUGAACCUGUUCAAUACAGAAGAAAAGCCAACAAAAUGAGUUCUUUCAACUACAAUUAUAAUAAACUUACAAAGAAUCAAUUCUACAUAUGAACAGUCCUUUAUAAAUUCAAAUCUCAUCAUCCAUGAAAAAUCCUUUCAACGUUUUAUUCACAGCCCUUUCAGAAAACCCUUAUAAUUUCUCAAUCACGCAUAUAUUUGAUUUCCCAAACUGAAGAAAUUCUAAAUUCGAAUCUUAUCAGAAAUGAAGGAAUCUCACAAAAGAGUGUGAAAUUUUAAACGCUGAAAAAUGAAAUUAAAAAAAAAAACCCUUCAAAAUGAAUUACUUGUGGCUCUCUUGGGGGGACGGUAAUGCAAUCGGUGCAUCCGUUCAGAAGCUCCGGCGUAAUCAGCGGCCGUAUAUUGACCGCAACCCUAACGCACUCAGUGCUCUCCAUCUCCGCCGCCGGCUCAACCACAGAAACCCAGAUUCCUCGGGUUCGGAUUCAAUCCAGAAACAAUUCCCACCUCCGACGAAUGCAAAAACCCCAAUCAAACACCACGAAAAUGUAGAUCCAAUCCUCAAACGUAAGAGCUGGGUAAAAAAAUUUCGUGAAGAAAAUUCUCAGGAAAUGACAAACAUUGAGGCUAUGAGAUUUCAAAUUUUGAAGAUAGAGAGAGAAAGAGAAAGAGAAGGGGCACUUUUUUGUUUUUUGAGAGGUUGAUAAUUAUAAUAAGAAAAACCAGAAAGGCAACAAAUUAAUACUCUUAUGGAAAUGUAAAAUGUAAGCGCCGCUCAGGUACGAAUUCAAAUUUUUCAUUCUUUGCGUUUGCGACCGUUACGCACGUGUCAUGCACAUGAUCAGAUCGCUAAAUAAUAUUAAAGGCCCACUAAGUUUAUAUUUAAGCCCAUGUUUUAAAUUUGGGCCCAUUUUGAUUCUUAUUCUGAAGUGAGUGUAGGAGGAAGACGAUGAUUUACACUUGCACACUUUCACAGAGUUUAUGCUCGGAGAUGGCGACUCUGGUUUCGAAUUGAACUAGUGUGGGAAGGUUUUUGAGGGUUUCGAAGUGUUGAGAAAUGGUGAACAGUGGAGAUUUGGACCAGGCUCUGCAAGAUGGGAAUAUAUUUAGACAGCUCAAUGCUCUAAUCGUAGCUCAUCUCCGUCAUCACAAUCUCUCACAGGUGUGUCUUUGCUAUCAUUCUUAAUCAUACCCUGAUUCUAAUUUUAUAUCUUGUACAUACACAUAUGCAGCGUACAUCAAUAUACGCUACUUUGAGUAUAGGAGUGCUAAGUGAUAACCAGCUAUUCAAAUUGGGAUUCUGAGAAUAUCUAUUUUUGGAUUUUUUUUUUUUUUUUUGUGUCUUUUCUUGUGGUGUUAAAGUGUGACACUUUGAAAUUCAGUCAGAUAUAUUUCUUUUGAAUUUCAAAUCAUGUGUGUUUAAAAGGAUGAGGUGUUUGGAAGAAGAGUAGUUAAGUGCUCAAGUUUGGAUUUUUCAAUACAGUCAAAUUGUUAAAGUUUUGAUUUCGGUAUCAACUUUUUAGGCGGCAAGUGCGGUUGCAUCAGCGACAAUGACACCAUUGAAUAUUGAAGUUCCUCCAAACCGUCUUCUAGAGCUUGUUGCAAAGGUUAUUGAUUUUUUUGCCUUUCUUCCACUUUCUGAAGAAUCUCUGUGUUAUAGUUUUGGAGUGUUUUGGAACAUGUUUGGUUCUCUGGACCAGAAUCAGAAAGAAUUUUUGGUUCUGAGAUGAGAACAGGGUCUUGCAGCGGAGAACAAUGGGACACUGAGAGGUCUUUCUUCAUCAGUCUUGUUACCCUGUUCUUAUGGAUCAAUCACUGCGCCUAGAACAGCUUCUAUCGACUUCAGGUGAUGUCUCGUUUUUUCCCAAUGAGUUAUGUUUCUUAAUAGAUGAAAUCAUAACAGCAUAUCAUCUAAAAAAUGUUUGGAAUAUGUCCUACUAGUGUUACUCAUUUGAAAGGCUCUUCAAAGGCUAUUCCAAAGCAUGAAUCCAAGACCCUGUCAGAGCACAAGGUAUAUAUAUAUAUAAAUAUUAUAUAUGUCUAAGUAGACACAAGUCAUACAACUUGAACUAACCCUUACUAAUGUUUCUUCGCGAUUUUUUAGUUUGGCUGAUAAGCUUAUGAAUUUUAUAGAGCGUUGUUAGGUGUGCAAGAUUUAGUCCUGAUGGAAUGUUUUUUGCAACUGGCGGUGCAGACACAUCAAUUAAGCUCUUUGAGGUACUGAAUUUUUUUCUUUUUCAUUGUACCGACCUUGUAUUACUAAGCAUCAUCAAGAAUUGAUAGUUCUGUGGCUGUUCUAUGUUGUUUCUUUAAGGUGCCAAAAGUAAAACAGAUGCUUUCAGGAGAUACUCAAGCUCGACCGUUAAUACGGACUUUUUAUGAUCAUGCUGAAGUAAGCCUUUCCCUUUUUCAUAAUUCUGCCACUUUCUUUUAGAUUUUUUAAUAUCUCUUAUACUUGUGAUUAUCAUUUGUAGCCAAUAAACGAUCUUGAUUUCCACCCUCGGAGCACAAUCCUAAUAUCCAGUGCCAAAGACAACUGUAUAAAGUAUCUAAUUUCCGUUUCCGUUUCCGUUUUCUCUACCUAAAUAGAUUCUCGCAGUGAUUACAAGAAAAUUUUGUGUUCACCUCUUUUUGUGUUAUUCUAAUGACUUUGAUAGGUUCUUCGACUUCUCGAAAACCACAGCUAAACGAGCAUUCAAAGUUUUUCAGGUAGAGAUCAUGGUUGUUAUCAGUUUCUGCUUAGCUACAUGGUGCAAAAAAACAUCGCAUGUGAUCAUAUCCUUAAUUCUUAAUUUUGCAGGAUACCCAUAAUGUGCGCUCUGUAUCCUUUCAUCCAUCAGGAGAGUUUCUUCUUGCAGGUGAUUGUAUAUUGCUGAGACCAUCUUGUGAAGUCUUUUUCUUUGAAUUCAAACAAUGAUCUAGAUGAAGAUCUGAUCAGUAUAUCGUGAAUAAGAAAACUAGGCCUUUACAGGAACCGAUCAUCCAAUUCCACAUCUGUACGACGUAAACACAUAUCAGUGUUUUCUUCCUCCAAAUUCCCCAGAUAACGGAGUAAAUGGAGCCAUUAAUCAGGUACUUAUCUGAUCAAUCUUCAUUGUGCAUUCUAUAUUCAUCUCUUGUGAUGAACAUGGAUUCAUGGCUGUGAGAUUCUUGGUUUUAUUCAGGUGCGAUAUUCUUCCACGGGAUCCAUCUAUGUUACAGCCUCAAAGGAUGGAGCUAUUCGACUCUAUGACGGGGUCAGCGCAAAGUGUAUACGGUCCAUUAACGGUGCACAUGGAAAGUCAGAGGUGACAAGCGCAGUGUUCUCUAGAGAUCAAAGGUAAGAAAAAGAUUCAAUCGAUUUUCUCUUACACAUCACUACUGUUGCUCAAUAGUUCUUGGCAGAACAAUUGAUUAAUUAUAUGGCUUUUGUUAGGUUUGUUCUCUCGUCUGGUAAGGAUUGUACGGUUAAGUUAUGGGAAAUAGGUUCUGGUCGAAUGGUAAAGGAAUAUCUCGGAGCAAAGCGAAUAAAACUGAGGUCUCAGGUAACCAAUUCUCUAAACCUUUUGAGACGAAAAUGUUUACUGGAUCCGACUACUACUAAACGAUCUUCAUUGUUGUGUUAUGCAGGCAAUCUUUAACGAAACUGAAGAGUUUGUAAUCUCCAUAGAUGAAGCAAGCAAUGAGGUUGUUACAUGGGAUGCCAGAACCGCAGAAAAAGUGGCAAAGUGGCCUUCAAACCAUAACGGAACACCGCGGUGGAUUGAGCACUCGCCGGUGGAACCCGUCUUUGUUACUUGUGGAACAGACAGAUCAGUUAGGUUCUGGAAGGAAUCCGUCUAGAAUAGAAUCCAAUGAAUCAAAGUAGUGUUUUUAUUUUCUUAAAACUUAAAGCAUACAUGAUACUACGAAAGUAUAGAAAUUCUGGAGACAGAUUUGCUUAUAAGAUAUUAUUUUGAAGAGUUCUGUUAUUCAUAUUGCCUUGUGAAAAACGCAAGUAAUGUUCCAGGUCGCUGCAUAAGAACAAAAAUAAAGCAGGUGAGUUUCAAAAUCAGAAUCACAGACUUGUCAAGAUUUGUUUCUAUAUAGAUACUUACCCAUGGCUGAAGUUAUUCUCCUGCCGUCUGCAGUUAUAAACUUGGUUGAUCGAACGUUCUUAGUCGGUCCACAGAUGUACUGUUGUUUAGGUGCCGAGAACAUGAAGUUUACCGGCAUCCGAGCAGUUUUUUUUGAAGUACCAGCUGCACCAACGGCUAACUGGAAUGAACUUUCUAAACCGGGUUUCAAGACACCGCUUUUGCAGCAAUUAGCGAUCUGCUGAUUGUAAGGAGUUCCGGGAAGCAAAUCGACAACUGUUGGCUUACGAAUGCAGGAAUGUGGGAUGUUUCCUUUGUACUGGGAACAAUCUCCUUGCUCUGUGGUUUGUGCACCAAUCAUGCUCCAGAUCACUUCUUUCCGGGUCCAUCUCCAGCUCAUUGUCCAUCCUGGAACCGAACGUUGUUUCUGGUAAUUGUAGGCUGUAACCACUGCCUGAUAUGGAUUUAAUCUUGAAGUUAAAGCAGAACCAAAGAUAUUGUGAGACAAGAAGAAGAAGAACUACUUACAACGUAGCCAUCAGGCGUCCAGCUCAUGAGAUCCCAUUUGACUGUGAUGUGUCCGUUGUUGCUGGAGCGAGCUUCUGCAGAUCAGAGAACACAUUGGACUAUAUAAGUUUUUUAAGACAAAUGAAGGUGAAUGUGUUGCAGGAGAGAGAUUUUCUUCAUCUUCUUCUCAUUCAGAGAUUUACCUGAAUAAGUCAAACAAGAAAAGGAAACCAAGAGCAGGACAAUCAUAGCGGAGAAGAGAGACUCCAUUGUUGUAGUUCAGAAUUGAAGAGAGGGAGGGAGAGAGUUUGUAAGAAGAGAGGGAGAGACUUUGUGAGAAGAGAGAUCAAGGCGACGACUUUGACUCAAGAGGGUACAAAAUUACACAUCAUUACAGUUGUACCACUUUAAUAUGCCUUUAUCCCCGGGAUUUUGUAUUACAUUAAAUAAAUCAUAGGACUAUUUAACAAUGCUUACUUGGUCCCGUAUAACUAAACUCAAAUUGUUUGAACAAGAUAAGCAUUAAAUUAACAAAGAAACUUAAUAAUUAAUUCUAUCCCCGAUUCCUGAGCCAAGCAUAAACUCUGGGUAAACGAUGCAUUGAGGCAAACCAAAAUUAUUGGAGCUAUUUGCUCGUGACCAAGCAAAAAGAAGAAUUCUCCUUACAAAAUCAUAAAAAAGGAAAGAACACAGACCAUAAUAAUCUUUAAAUAAUUCUAUCAGAUGUUGAAGAUCAUCAGCAUCACAUUCUUCGUCUCAUCUUGUUGUGCGGUUUCUUAACAAAACUCAUGUUGAUCUGCUUGAGCCGUCUCCUCUUCCUCGCGGUUUUCUCAGGUAACGUCUCUCUCUUCUUCACAUUGCUGUCCACUUCCUUGGUCUUCUUUUUCAAAAACCGUGGAUCGACUCUGUAUUCCUUGGGGCUAACAGCGAUACCUUUCUUAGCUGCUUCUUUGUACAAACCAUUAGCUCUAGUUAGCUGGUUAUUCGCACACAUUUUCCCCAUCAACAAAUCAUAAGUUUUGAUCCCAGGUUUGAUUCCAUUCGCUUUCAUGUUCUUGAACACACUCAUGGCAUGCUCAAGCCUCUCAAUCCCACACAAUAUCUUCAAAAAACCGUAAUACUCUUUCUUAGUCAAAGACUCACUGUAUCCAGCUGAUUUCAUCUUAUCGAUCAUUUCAUCUCCUUCACCAAUCCUAGCUGCUUGAUAUAAACUCUUAAUCAGAACAAGGUAUGUCUCAGCGUCUGGUUGACAACCCCAUUCACCCAUCCUACCAAACAAUGUCAUGGCUUCUUCGGUUCUCCUUAUUUUACAAAGAUUGUUAAUCAACACAUUGAAAGUCUCUGUAUUUCUGGGCACACCGCGGAACUCCAUUUCGAGCAAAACCUUCUCUACUUCAGGUUGAAGCUUAAACGGGUCUUUCUUCCUACAAAGCUUGCAAACGCAAUCAAGAAUCAUGUUAUAAGCUUUGGUUCCUAUCUCAAAUCCUCCUCUAGACAUCUCACCAGCUAACCUAGUUGCUUCAUCAAGUUUCUCAGCAGUACACCAACCACUAAUCAACAGAUCACAAAUAUUUUCAUCAGGAAAAAUAUCAUUGGCAGUGUUCUUCACCAUCUUCUCCGCGAUACUCGCAUGGCCUUUCUCACAAAGCUUCUUCACAACCAACGUCAGUGACUCUUUGUCACGUUUCAACCCGUAAUCGUUCUCCAUUUUCUCGAAAAAAUCAGUGACCUGCUUAGGUCUACCAGCUCGAACCAGCCUAUCAAUCGCAGACUCAAGUGUUUUAGCUCCGGAGAUACCUUUGUAUUUCGAGAUGAUCUCUAGCAUUCCUUUGAAAUCCUUCCGACGACCGAAGUAAUCGACGAAAUACGAAACUGUCUCAUCCGUAUGAGAGAAGCCAUUGCUCGAAUCCAACCACUCGUUAAACCCGAGAGCAGCGCGACCAGCUUCAGGGGACAGAUUCAGUGUUUGAAGAAUCAAAUCCGGAUUCGGCGUGAUGUGGGAGAAGCUGAGAUUGAAUCUCUGAGAAAUAGAGUGAGACUCCGCCUCUGGAUUCCCAGUGAGCUCCUUGGAGAAAGAGAGAGCAAUCUGAUUCGGAUCUGAAGAUUCUGAAUCCGCAUUUGUUUCAGAUGAGAAGAAUCUACAAGGAAAUGUUGAGAAUAUUGAGGGACGGGAAGGCGGUAGAGGAGAAAAAGAUGGUGUGGAAGAAAUGAGCCGUGACUGGGAUUGGAGAAUAUUAGCGGAGGAGGAGGAGGAGCCGAUAGUGCGGAGGAGCAGUCGCCGGAGUUGCAGAGACGGUAACGACGGCGGCAUUUUCUGAUAUUAGUGAGAGAAAAUUAGUAACCAGAGAGAGAGUGUGAGAAAGGGAAGUAGAAUAAAACCCUAGUUCAAGAUUUAGGAACAUCAUGCGUUAAUGGGCCUAAUUUUGGGGCUUUAACAAUUGAAGCCCGUUUUAAGAGUAAAAAGAUAUAUAAAUAAUUAUCAUCGCAGAUAUAACAAUCGGGGGUGUAGCUCAUAUGGUAGAGCGCUCGCUUCGCAUGCGAGAGGCACGGGGUUCGAUUCCCCGCACCUCCAUUUUGCGUUUUAAACCAGUAUAUGUGCAGUUUCUCUUUUUUUUUUUUUUUUUUUUAAAAUUAAUAAAUGCAGAGAGAGUCAUUGUCAUAGUCUCAUUGAGGUUAUCUAGAUGAUCAAUAUGUCGUAGUUAAUGUUGCAAGUUUCAACUACAUUUUAAAUUUAUAUACGGCUAACUAAUUCUCCUCAUAAAAGAAAUCAAAGACGUUUAUAAACAUAAUAAGUAAUACUAUAGACUAUAGUUUCGUUUCCAUCCAUAUAUCUAAGAAAGGAUCUUAUUGUUGUUCAUUAAUCAAAACAAAAUUUACCACUAAACAAAAGAAUCAAUUAAGCAAAAAAAAAAAAAAAGUGUUCUCAACAUUUUAUUCUGUAAAGUGUAAUUUCACUUUUCACGAUUGUAUGCAUAAUAGUCUCGGUAAAUGCUCAGCUACCGCACCUUCCGUUUUUUUCUCUAUUUCUAUUUUAACCGAAUUUGGGUAUGCUAAGAUUUUCUGAUAUGCUGUGCGAGAUUUUAAAAUUAAACCUCUUUUAUCAAUAUAAAAUUUUGAACAUAAUUAUCAUUGUUCAAACUUUAGAAGAUAAAUUUAUGUAAUUUUCUUUUUUAAUUUGGUAGUCUAAAACAUACCAUUUAAUAGGAGAGAAAACAACAAAAAUGUUGAUAAAAAGCAUUUUGUGACUGUCAUUUGCUUCAACCAAUCACCCAACCUUGAAGUUAAAGAGAACACCACAUAAAAAAAAAUAGGAUCAGUUGUGUCUAGAAACAAUUAUGAUUUUGGUAAAAAUGCAGUGAAAAAAGAAAAGAAAAAAAAUGGGAAUUAUUAACCAUGAGACCAGUAACUCCGAUCUAAUCAUCCAAACUUGAAACUCCCAUGUCAAGAAUCAAAAUUGUUGUGGUUCUUCUUUUUGACUUUAUCUGGUUGUGAAUUUUGCAAUGAAGAUGUCGCUAAAUGAAUAAUCCAUCCUCCUUUAAUAUAUUGGAAAACGUAGAAUUAAAUAAAUUAUAGGAGAAGAUUAGCAUCAUCGAAAUGCCUCCGUAGCAUAGUGGUAUUGCGUUCGCUUCGUAAGCGAAAGGCCGCGAGUUCGAUCCUCGCCGGGGGCUUAUUUUUGUUACAUCUUUUUUUAUUUUAUUUUUGAAGGCCCAAUUGUACUUAUAAGAUUUUUAGGUAUGUAUUAGUGGUUUGGAUUUAACCAAAUUAUGUAACAGGUGAAAAAUUGUAGACUAGGGUGUUCGGUGUUCCUACGACAGUUGUUGUCUUAUUGAUCCCAUGUAUGCUAAGUUAAUUCGUACAAUACAACACAGAGCUACUCAUCGCAAAAUACCAUAAUAUUCAAGAGCAAUUACGUAUGUGAUUAUAUAACUAACAAGGGUAAGUUUAUGACUCGAUCAACUGCAUAUACUUAAACAUUGACAAACUAUCACUUGAUGUUACCCUUUGGACCCCUUAAACAUUCAACUCAGCUGCACGUUCUACAAAUAUAUCAAAACAAAAUAUACAUCACUACAUCUCACUCUUUAAUUAGAGCACCUUAACCUGUAAAAAGCAAGUAAAGACGAUAAAUGCAAACAAUUAUACACCCUAAUUUGAAUUGUUUACAUAUCAUAUAUGUGUAAGGCUAUGAUUUGAUUAAUUGACGUCCACAAAUUAUGAUUCAUAUUAUCAAGAGAAACUGAACCUCACGCAAUCUCCAUUUUACCAUAUAGUAAAACUAUCAGAACUUCUGAGUUAUAUGUCUAAUUCUACAUAAUGAUGAGGGAUUUAUUCAAAAAAAAAAAAAAAAAAAAUAUUAUGAGUAAUACACAAAAAGAUCUCCAUGUCGAGGCAUCGCAAUAUUCCUUUCAAGGAGACCAAUAUUUUUUUUUAAACUAUAGAAUUGGUAACAAAGCUUUCUUUUUGUUUGCUCGUCUUUAUAUUUAUUAAGUAUUGUAGAUUAUGAGGAUAAAAAAAAGGUUUCUUUGAAAGCAUAUAUACUAUAUAGUUUUUAUAGGAUUUUUUAAAUGUACCAUAAAUAAUAACCUCUGAAAAAAAAAAAUUGAAAAAGAAAAAGGAGAAAACAAAAAGAAUUGCAUGCCUAAGUGAAUGAAUUAUUUGAAAAUGAAAUAAAGUGGACCUGUUUUUUUUUUUUUUUUUUUAUCUUCAUGUCUUAACUUUGAAGCAUGCCGGUGAUGAAAAGGAAGUUUAUAAUCAUAUGGACCAUGCAUAUAUUAUCCCAUUUAAGAUAAAAUUAGCUCUUUCCACUUAAAGAUUCUAAAGAUGGUAUCAUAAGUUUUUUUUUUAAUUAUUCGCAUUUUCACUUUGAUAAAAAACAAAAAUGUUAUCGUAGAUGUAAAAAAAAAAGUGCUAUGGUAUACUCAUUAUCUUAAAGAACUAAAAAGAGAAAGAAAAUGUAGGUCGAUAUGAAUUUCAACUAGAUAACAAAGAAAGAACAAGUGCAAUAAUAGCCUUUUUGAAGUAUCAGAAUAUAAAUUUCAACUCAUAUUUAUACGAAGAGAUGCUUGGUGUAGGUAUUGAACAGAAUUUUGGUUGAAAAAGGUAAAAAAAGAAAAACAAUGUAUGUAUAAUGGCAAAAUCUUUGAAUUUUCUUGACAAGGUGUGUGCCCAUCUAUAUCUAAACACAUGAUUUAUGAAAAGAUACAAAAAAAAAAACAAAAAAAAAGGACCACCAAAAAGGAAAAUAAGUUAUGUUUUGAAAAACCAAUAAUUUUAACAAAUGGGAACGACCCCACAACUUGGAGAAGAGAGAGUGAGAGAGAGAGAGAGAGAGAGAGAGCAAUAGGGAUCAGUGCUUGACUGCAAUUCAGUUGCUGUCUUAACUGCUUCUCUUCUUUCCCUUUCCUUCUCUGACCCUCCAAUCCCAAUACUCACCAUCGAUCAUCUUCUUCUCUUUCUCUCUUUUUCUUCUUCUUCUUCUUCUUUUCCUUUUCAUAUAUAUCUUUUUUUUUCUUGCGGUGGUAUUAUAUAUAUUCUGACCAAGGUUCUAUAAGGAGGCUCGACUCAUAUAUGUAUAUCAUGUAUCAAGAUCAUCAACCUUAUAUACAUGUAUUGUUCAGUAAAAUAAAGACAUACUAGAGAACGUUCCUAUAGCUAAGUACACAUUUAUGUAAGCAAAUAAAGGUUAUGAUAGCUAGGCGUUUGUACUUUUUUUUUUUGUAUUUUAUAUACUAUGACUCUAUGAGUGAAAACAAACAUAUAUAGAACUUAAUUCGAAACAAAUCUAGUAUGUACCAGUAAUUAAGAGGUAUAAUUAGACCAUUAUUAUUGAUAGGAUUUUAGGAAAUCUUUAACCUAUGAAAUAUCUUUUAUCUAAUAAACAAUUAAAAGUUUAAAUUUAAUACUAAACAAUUUUAAAAACUAACCUUAAAAACUCACCAUUAAAGAUGCUCUAAAAAAUUUAAGUAUAUAAAACGUUGAGAAUUAUUUAUAUAUAUAUAUAUAUAGCAUUCUUUUACAUGCAUCGAGAUCGAUUUCUGCAUUAUAUUGCUUUGACCUAAAUAGAAUCCCUCUCGCUCACACACGUGAAUAAGAAUGUGAAUGUGCUUACGAAUAUAAAUCCAUAUAUUACAUUUAUUAGCUCUCUUAUUGAAAUCAGUUGUGUGUCGUCGACUAAAGACUACCAGCGAUUAUUUAGUUUGAACUUUGAUCGUUUGGAUUCAAAAGUCAGCAAAUACGGAAAUAUGAGGACAAUGCUAGCUAUCUCUACUAAUUUGCCUUACAUAUAAUUUAUAUAGAUAGACAUGCUCACUUUGUUUUCUUUUGUUUUUGGUAACCGUCACUUUCUUAAUAAGUAAUUUAGUACAUACUCACAUAUGGAUGCAUAUGUUAUAUACGUGUACAUGAUUAUAUAUAGGUGUGACGCAUAUAUACACACGAGGCUAUAGCUAGGGUUUGGCAUGCAUUAUAUAUUGCCCUGCAACUAGCCAUUGUGAACAGCAACCUAGCUAUCUCUCUAUAUAUAUACUCCUAUUUUUGUAUCUACUUAUAGAAUAUGCGUGUUACGUAUAUAGUUCGUAUGAAUAAGAAUUUCGUAAUACGCCCGUCUAAUUAAUUAUACCUAGUUAUGAAAGAAAAUAAUGACUGUGGACAUAAAAAUUAUUUGAAACUUAUUUCUGACACACAUGACAAGCAACGACCCCUUCUGUUUCUUUCAUUUUAACUGUGCACCAAAAUGACUUUCUAUAUUAUAUUUUGAUAUAUUCUCUCCAAUAAUAUUUUUAGUUAAAGCUAUAAAUUUCAUAGUUACGAUUCAUUAUAUUCAAGUACUGACUAUGUAUUAAAUUAUUAAUGAUUGCAGAUUCAUUAUUGAGAUAAAUCAUACGAGAAUAUUUUGACAACAUCAAUUUGAGAUUACAAGUUUAAAACAAGAUGAAAACAUGAUAUGCUUCGCUAAUACAACUCGAAAUAUAUGUGAAGCAGAUCCAAAGAUAAGAUGAGGUAUAUAUAGGCGCCAAAUCAAUCAAAGGAGACUAGAACUAAACCAAGCAAUGGCGACGAACUGCUACAUAUAUAUAUAUGCAUCAAUCAUAUAUGUCCGGCCACAACUAACAUACACAGCGGAUGGAGUUGACGGUAGCAGCUGUUAAUUGAUAUGUUUUGAAUCUAAUCACAUGCUGUUUGUAUAACCUAUGGAUUUCAAUGGACAUAAGCUAUGUUUACUAUUUUACUCUAAUUCAUUUAAACCAAUUUAACCGCAAACCUAGGUCCAUAAUUGAAAUCCAUAUAUAUGCUAUAUUGCUACGUUUACUUAUUGCUAGCUAGGUCCAUUAAUUAAGAAGAUUUACUAAUCUAAAUAUAAUUAUGCAUGAAGAUGAAAGUACUAGAUUUAUACAGUUAUGAGAUACGUACCUAUAGUAUUCGAGUAAUUACUAUAUGAUGUGUAUGUAUAUUCAUAAAUGAAGGCAGAAACACAUUCAAGUAUAGUUCAUCCAAUUUCAAAAGCAAGCAAAGACUAAAUAGACAUAUAUCAAAACUCAAAAAUUUAUAAAUAUAUAACAACCAUCCUCGCAUUGUAUGAAUGUCUUUGCUCCAAUCCAAAUCCGAGAUUAUUAAAAUUUCCAUACAUACACGAGGAAGAUAUAUAUUAUAAAACCAACCUAACAAUACGCAUAUAUAUAAAAAUAUAGAAGAAUACGUAUACAUGUUUAUGUAUAGUGUAGGAUUUAGUUAAUCUUUCACGAAUCUGAAUCAUUAUCGCUACUAUGACGAUCCGUAUCAUGAUUCGAGCUCAUCAAAUGAUGAAAUGGUCUAAUCAAACUCGUAUUACCCGUCAUCAUCUGUUGCUGCGUCGCCGUAUUUGAAUUCGAGCUAAAGAGCUGAAGAUGACCAGCUCCAUCUACGACUUGAUGAUGAUGAUGUUGAUGAGAAGCUCCAAGAAACGAAGGGUAUGUCGGAAAUAGAGAGCUCAUAGCUGGAGGAGUAGGACCGAAAAAAAGCUGAGAUCCGUCUCCGGCAGACGAGGAAGGAGGGGGCAAGUUGAGAUUAUUGUUGUUAUUAGCAGCAACAUUAGAUAUAGCGACGGUAACGUUAUUACCGGAUUGGUCUAACGAUUGUUGAAGAUGUCCGAGGUUGUAAUAAGAUGAAGUGUUAUUGUAAGGAUUGCUCAGAGGGAAAUGUUGAUGGGUGGUGUCGAACCCUUGAUGAUCUUGAUUACUAUUCUCGUCGUGUUUGAUCCAUUUUCCUUUAUCAAGAUCGAAACUUUCCCUCUGGGUCGUAGCAGUAUCGGUUAUUCUUGAUCUUGUUCUUGAAGAACCACCAAGAUCCCAGUUUUCCAAGAACCCAAGAUUGGUUCCUGGAAAUGUUGUUGAAGAUGGCGACUCUCCGAACCCGGAGUUUCCAAAGAUGAGAUUUGGAUACAUUUGGUUAAAACCAUGUGGGAAUUGUAGAGGAGGGAGCUUGUCGACGUCAUCUUUUGCUGCUUCGAGUAACCAAUCGAUGACUUUGCUUGGCUGACUCAGCCCUAAUCGAUCUUGAAGGUCAUAGAGUUGAAUUGCUGUAGGUACGGACAACCUUAUCCUCCGGUCUCGAAGACCACGGACUGUACAGACUUUGCUGUGUCUGUCUUUGCCACCGAAUGUUCUCGAGACUCUAACGAUUCUUGGAUUCCUAAAAGCUGAAGUCCAUUGCCUUGAAGAUGAUACUGUACUCGGCUGUUGUUGUUGCAACAUGUGGUUUAAGUUUACCUGAUGGUUUUGACUAUUAUCUCCUUCUUGCUUUGCUUGAAUCUCCUCUUCUUCGCAUUCUCUUGAUCUCAUCUCUUGUAAUUCAAGAUAUUUUCUUAAGCGUUUGUAAAGAACAGAUCUGAAACAAGAAGGGAAGAAAUUGAACCAUUUAAUAGAGGAAAAAAAUCAAGAAGAGAACAAUUAGUUGUUGUAAGCUUCUGAUGGAAUGAAAUUGAGGCGAGGUGAUCAAUUUUUUGCUUUGUAAAAAUGUUUUGAGCACAAUUCACAUGAAAACAAAGCAAAAUAGAAAAGCUUAAGUCAUCUAAGAAAAGAAAACUCAUAAGAAGUUGAAAUUCAAAGAUAAUAUGUUCUUACAUCGAUAUUGAAGGCUGGUAAAAGCUUGAGUCCUAGUAUAAGAUCUAGCUUGAUAGAGAAUGAAGAAGGAAGAAGAAUGGAGAAUAAGAAAGAGAUAAGGAGGCAGAGGAAUGUAAAGUAUUUCUUUUUUUGGAAACUAGAAUUAUAUAUGUAUUAUAAUGAUUGGGGAUGUAAAAAUAAUUAAUAAUUAAAAUAUAUUUUUAUAUUUUGUAGAUUCCAAUCCCUAGGGUUUAUUAUUAUUAUUAUUAUUAUUAUAUUUUAUUUUUAUUUUUGUAUGAAAGGAAUUUAUGCAGAAAGACAAAAGAGGUGCAUUUUAUGUAGUGUAUUUGAUACUGUGAUGGGAAUGUGCAUGUUUCGUUAUACUCACAGUCACAUAAAUUUUUUUAUACUGUAUAAAAUAUCCCAUACAAUAGUUGACAAAAAAAAAACCUUUACAAUAAAUUUUAAUGUAUUUUAGUUUUCAAAUUUGGUUUCCCUUUCCUGCGUUUAAGACAUUUAUUUUCACUUUUAUGGAGUAUAGUUUAAUAUUUACCCCGAGUUUGUAAUCUGUUGUCUUCUUAUCUUAAUUUUGAAUUGGUAACAAAAAAAAAAGAAAGAACAUACGGCUAAAGUCAUUUAAGAGAAAGCGUGCGGUUGAAUAUAGAAAUGGUAACAAGAGCUUUAAAAAGUGAUAACAUAAAUGGUAAAAGAAGUUGCACUGUGUAAAACAUAUAAAAGAAUUUGAACAUUUAUAUUAUGAAUUAAAUUUUCAUAAUAUCAAAAAAAGAAAAAAAAAAGAAAAAAUGGAAGGACCAAUUUAUUAUAUAUCGGGACAUUUUAUUAAAUCAUAGUUGGUCGCUUCAUGAGACUGUUAGAGAAAUUAUUGAAUUACAUUACAUCAACUUUGAAACCCUAAAUCUGGUACUUCUAGAGUUGUUAAAAUCAAACUGUUGGGAGUGUUAAUGCGUCUACUUCUAAUUAAUUAUUUGUAAGGUUAUGUUUGAAGCAUAUAAAUAUACACAUAUAUAAAGUUUUUAUUUGUAAUAACAAUAAUAAGUAACUAAAUAUGAUUAAAUAGAUUGACAGCUAUAUAGGAGAGGUAAGGGUCUGUCUCUGAGAUAGGGAAUGGACCAACGAGUUCUAUAAGUUUUUUUUCUUUAAAGCAUCUAAUGCUUAAAUACUCUCAUCGCAAAGAGAUUUGUGGACCACUCUCGUCUCUUCUAAUAAGUGUCUUUGCCACUGAGAUUUUUGCCCACAAAAUCACACCAUGCAUUUUCUUUCUUCUUUGUAUCCAACUUGAUCACCACUAUAAAGUCUUCUAAUAAUUGACCGCUCCUUUCGUCCACUGCUUAUUACGACGAAUAUUAUCAUGUAUUCUGUAUUGUAUAUAUAUAUAUAUAUAUAAAAAUUGAAUUCUACGUUUUUUGUUAUUCUUGUAAUGUGAUAGACCUAAGACUUGUACCAACUUUUUUAUUGAGUAAUAUUGGUCUAAAUAUUGGUCGGUGUUUAAGUUCAAAUAUGUAGCAACAAUAUUAAUUAAUACGCAAUAAGUUAAUAUAAUUUGUGGUGAAAUUUGUCGCAGCAAAAUUUUCAUCCCAAACAACAACAUGCUUGCGCCAAACCUAUCCGUCGUCUAAAGCAGCCCACUACAUAGCUAGCCGUCUUAAUUUUGUUAUUGCCAAUGGAAUUGCUUGGUUCUUUUUAAUGCAUGUCCAACCCAAAACUUGAUCUUCUUAAAUUGAUUAUGGUAAAUUUUCGUUAAAAAUAACAAUUGUUAUAUAUAUUUACUAUAGUUAGUCACAAAUCCGUCUAAUUUAAUUAGGUACAAGUUUGUCUAAAACACUCUUUAUAUAUGCAUCAAGUUUUCUGAUAUAUAUCAAACGAAACUAUGACUAGGAAAGUAUAAUGGUUUUUUUUAUCAUAUUAAUUAAUUAUGUGUAUAUGUGAUUUUAAGUAAGUUCUGUAUUAUUAUUUGCAGUUUUUUUUUCUUACGAUAAGGGUUUGCAAAUUCUAAUUGUAAUAGCUCGUACCAUGCGUCAUCAUAAAAGUUUCUCCCGUACGUAUUCAUACACUAAUCUAAUUCCUAAUAUUGUUUAUUGGAACUUCUUAAUGUUCCUGUUGACCAAAAAUAAUAAAAGCAGCCGAGUAGUACUAUACGUAUGGGGUAUGGCAGGCAAAAGUAUGGGUAUCAAAAGUCUAUACGGACUGCACAAACGAAGAAGAAGUAGAGAAUAUAUAUAUAUAUAUGGAGAUGAAUGAUGAUUGAUGAUGACGGGACUUGAACUUCUUCUGGGCUUAACUUCACCUUACUUUUUCCAACAUAUAUAGGAUAUUGUGAUCCUUAUACAGACAAUACCCUAUACGUUACAGUUCAAUGUUUGUAUUCAUGUAUACAUAUAUAUAGAUGUUUUAAAUUUCUGACUUUGGGCUGAGUUAUGUCAAAAGCUCUGCCAAAUUUUAAUUUUUUUUCAGUCUGUGUUCAAAUUGAUUCUCCAUGUGGUUCGUUUUUUAAUAAUCAGGUUAUUGUUUUCCCCUCCCCAUAAUAUUUCGAACUAAAUAUAAGUUAGGCAUUAGAAACCCUAACCCACUCUAUAUAUAUAUGUAUUAGUUACGCCCUACUUUUAAGAAUAUUUACAGUGCCUGCAGAGUUUAAACUGAAUAUUAACGACUUGUAAGAAAGAAAGAAAUAGAGUUGUAGAUGUCGGAGAAGAAAAAUGGUACUCAAGAAUAAUAUUUUUAAGCAUUGUAGUUGACUAUCUGUAAAAACUAUAAAUUACUAAUAAUUUGUUUAUUCCCUACCGAAUUCUCAUUUGGCAACAUAAAAAAAAAAAAGUGAGUAUCUUUAUGCGAUUGAUUCGAUCCGGUCUUAAGACAACCUUAAGGGUUUAAUUAGAUGGGUAUACAAAUAUAAUUAAGAUAUGUGACUUAGUAUCAAAAACAUAAUAUAGUUAAGUACAAUAAACUCAUUUCAUGUAUCUUUUUAGUUAUGGGAUUGGACACUUUUGUUUUUUGACGUAGGAACACCGAUUCUUAUUGCAUCCAAAAGUACUCACUACAUGUUGUCUUUAAUUAGAUCUUGAACCAUCAAGAUAUUUUAGGCCAAUAAUAGCACCACUCUGUUCAAACUUAUGUAAAAUUCAUUAUACUAUGAAUCAAGAAAAUCUAAAAAAAUAAAAAUAAAUAGGAUCUCCGAUUAUCCUAAUAAACUUUUAACUUUUUGCUAAGUUGAAUUAUGAUAUAAGUAUGAAACACUGUCUCAAAUUCUCAACAAUACAUACAAGUGUUAUAUGAAAACGAAAACGAUGGAAAAUUUAAUUUUAUAACUUUCCACCAAAAGAAAAAUGUUAGGCAAGUUGGUCUUACUUAAGCUAUCGCCAUCAGAACGUGUGCAGGGUCACCAAUCGGACUAAAUACCAUAAUUCAAACAAAUGGUGAAAAAAAUAUCCAAAUCUUGCAUACUUGCGUUAUGUGAUGAUACCAACGAAUCAUAACAUCCACAUCUCAUCUAUUUAUUAAUUUCUUCUACUAGCUAGUAGACGAGAAAAUCAAAACAAACAAAAAAAAGAAUGAAACGAUCGAUGUGGUUCAUUAUCUACAGAAGAGUACACGAUAGCCUAAGAACGUCUUCUUCUUUUUGUCUUUUGGUUACUGAUCCGUCGUUUUCUUGGGUCUGAACGUCAGUAAAUGCAGAAGGGCUCAUGCUGAGACAGACAAGGACAUGUCCUUGUAAGAGACAACACCAAAAGGAGUAAAAACCCACCAAAAAGUAAACUUAUUUACACCCAUCUUAUACUUGUCUGUAUAUAUAACUAAUAUAUAUAUAUAUACAUGCAUGCUGAUGAUGAUACUGACAUUAUGACAGACAUACAUACAUACACAUAACUGCUUUCUCCUUUUUGUAUUAUUGAUGCAGUAAAGGUGUCUUCAGAGUUUGCUGCACUGAAACUACUCGUUUCUCUCUGUGUUUUUCGACUGUUGCAAUGGCAAACCAACUCUCUCUUCAUAUUUGGCAAAAAAAAUAAAAUAAAAUCACGGGUUCGUAUAAGACAAAAUACACAAGGUUUUAUAAGCCAAGACAAGUAUUGGCUUUUAUGGAGAAAUGGAUAUGGUACUCGUAAGGUGUAGACGAAUUGAUGAUUCUGUUUUGUUGAAAUUUUGGUUUUUCUGUAGUAUUCGUUUGGAUUCCUCUGUUGUCGGUAAGCCAAAUAGCCUCGAGGGAUUGAGAGGAGACAAAGUGGAAGAUAUGAGCCUGCAAAAAGGAAGAGAUAAUGCAGUAAGAAAAUUGACUGUAACGGACUAGUGUGAAGUGCCUUUAAUGUCUGGGGGAAGCAAUAAGCAAAGGAGACAUUUCUAUAAUUAAAAAAAUAUUAUUGCAGAUAUUAUAUAUGCUUUUCGAGCUAUGGCUGGAUCUAGAAACGAUAAAGCAAUCCCAUGACUCAAGAACUGUACCUCCAUGCAUUGAACUUUAACAAAUGCUGUAAACACACAUUUUUGCAGUAGUAUCAGGAAUACAUUAAUAUAUACAGAACAUGGAUGGAGGAGUAUCUUUUCUGCCAAGCCUCUGAUUGUUUCAGGACUGCGCAGAACUGUUGGCUCCGGAAUGUUAACUCGGGUAUGGACUGACCCGUGGCUUCCCACCAUCCCACCUCGACCUGGUAAAAGUGUUCUAGCUUUUUAAGAUCCGCAUCUGUAUGUCAAUGAUCUACUGAAUAGGGAUACUCAGGAAUGGAAGCUUGAACUUUUGAAUGCUAUUGUGGACCCAUCGGAUAUCCCUCUGAUUCUGGGCAUUCGCCCUAGUCGGACUUACCUGAGUGACGGAUAUAGCUGGGUUCACACAAAAUCAGGGAAUUAUACUGUUAAGUCAGGAUAUUAGGCCGCGAGAAAUCUUUCCCGCCCUUCUUGUGACCUCCCUUUUCAGGGACCGGAUGUUUCGGCACUCCAGGCACAAGUGUGGAAAACUAAAACCACAAGAAAGCUAAAGCAUUUCAUGUGGCAAUGUCUCUCGGGUUGCGUUGCAACCUGCCAAAGACUUUUCUCUCGACACAUUGGUAGGGAGAAAGACUGCCUCCGUUGUGGUCAUGAAGAGGAAUCAAUUAACCAUCUCCUCUUCGAAUGCCCUCCGGCUAGGCAGGUCUGGGCUUUAUCCCCAAUACCCUCUUCAGGGACGGUGUUCCCUCGCCAAUNNNNNNNNNNNNNNNNNNNNNNNNNNNNNNNNNNNNNNNNNNNNNNNNNNNNNNNNNNNNNNNNNNNNNNNNNNNNNNNNNNNNNNNNNNNNNNNNNNNNUCUCUUUUGGAGAGGUCAAGAAUUGGAGAUAGACGUAUCCAAUAUCCACAACUUCCCUUGGAUUUUGUGGUUUAUUUGGAAAGCCCGUAAUAGGUUUUUAUUUGAGAAUAUAAGGGUGUCACCUGAGGAGACCCUUCUGCUUGCUACUCAUGAAGCAGAAGUGUGGCGGCGGGCUAUGGAAGCAGAUGCUUCGUCAGAUCCUCCGCCACCUCCUUUGGUAGUCCAUAGGCCCCUAUCCUCCCCAAUUCUAGAAUGCCAAUGUGAUGCCUCCUGGCUGGAUUCCGAUCCCUUUAGUGGUCUUGGGUGGAUCCUACUGGAUGAUAGAGGAAAUUUCUCGCAAGGCCACUCUUGGUUUGGACUCAAGAGUGUUAGAAGGUCCCUCUCACCCCUUCAUGCUGAAUGGGAUUCCCUUCUUUGGGCCAUGGAGAGUAUGCUAGCGCUUAGUCAUUUCAACGCUAGCUUUGCCACGGAUUGUUCGGAUAUCCUUGCUGUUUUGGAGGCGCCAUCGGAUUGGCCCACGUUUGCAGCUGAAUAUGCUUCCUUUCGUGAUCUAAAGAAUUCUUUCUUGGACUUCAAUAUCCGCCGUAUCCCGAGAAAGGAAAACGGGCGCUCAGACUACCUUGCAAAGAAAGCAAGAUGCCGUGGAGUUCAUUUCUCCUACACAAGCACAUCGGCACCUUCGUGGCUCUUCCUAGAGGAGAGUUUAUUCCCGAGAAGCUUGUAAUUUAGUUCUUUAGACGAUAAAAAAAAAAAAAAAAAAAUAUAUAAGUUCCUCUUUUAGCCUUUUUGAUAGAGAUUAGGGACGGAGAUGACCAGAAAAAUACAAGUCACAGUUAGGUAUUGUAUCUCCAUAUUAAUUAUGCAUUAAUGUAUAGUGUAGUAUCAUAGAAGGGAUUUGGACUCUAUUUCAAUUUUAGAAACUGCUAAUUAAUUAAUUAAAUUGGAGAAAAAAGAAACGAAUCUGCAUAUUAAAUACAUCAAAGUCUUGCGAACGUUAAAAAACUACAAUGAUAUAUAUAACUAAGGAUGUUAGUAUCGUUCAUCAUUCAAAAACAAACUCGAGAUAGAAUCAUUUUUAUACCACAUACUAUAUUAGAUAUUAGAUUUGAAACUUGUUAUUUUCUUAGUUAUAUCAUGGCUACCAACAACGUGGUCUUUCUUGUAGCGGUUGUAUGCAUUGUGGUUUCGGUAAAUGCUCAAGUACGACAACCACACUUACCUUAUCCAUUUCCAUUCGAACCUGGUAUGCCAGGAUUACCUAAUAUAACAAAAUGUUUGUCAACGGUGAUGAAUAUUCCUGGAUGCAUUGCUGAGAUUUCUCAAUCCAUUGUCACUGGAAAGUUUGGUAACAUCGGCCCGGCUUGCUGCAAGGCAUUCUUGGAAGCUGAAGCUAAGUGUAUCCCCAAAGUUCCGGUUAAUCCGUUUUUCCCUCCUAUGUUGAAAGAACAAUGCUCAAGAAUUGCUGGAGCAGUUCCUCCUGCCAAAAAUUAGAAUUCUUAAGAUAGUUAUAAUGUUAAACCAUUGUACGUUUUUUAUUUAUUUUAGUUGAACAAUAAAGUUGAGUUAUGAUAUUGUAUGCAACGAUAUAUUUUCUGGUAAUUAAGAUGCAAUGAUACAUUUAAGUCACUUUUCAAGAGACCUCGAAAUCAUACUCUACAAUGUAGUCACGUACGUACGCCUCAUUGACUAAGUUUGCACGAAAGUUAUUUCGAAUGUACGAUUCUUGUUUAAGAAAACACUCAAGUCACUCCUAUCUGUGGUCUCUUGUCAUAUAUAUAGAGAAGCAGAACCUGAAGACUAUAAAGAAAAAAUAAUAAAGUCGAUACUUCCAAGUGUACUAGAGUCUAGAGAUAUCAAUUCACAACCAGAAUGGCUUUAUGUGUUCACAGUUCAGGUUCAGGUUCUCAUGAUGAUACACUAGCUAGCUAAUGCUAACAACUACUAUAUAUAGCUAAUCCUGAAAAAAAAUUUAGAACAUAUAUAUAUGUGGGCACGAAAAUCUCAUCCCGGUGAAAAAAUCAUACGACAAGUCAAUUGAAAACUUGUUAAAGUGUAUGAAACUUUUAGAAACUAAACCUGAAUUGAAUAAGAUCGAGUCAAAGUAAAAUGUACAUAAAAGAAACUGUAAACCGGUUUAUUGGUUUAAAUUUGGAAAAUAUAUACCGGUGAUUAAUGAGGGGAGGAGUCAAAUAUUUUAGUUUUUUUCUUUCUCUAUUUACAAUUUAUAAAACGGCUACACAAGAUCAAAUACCAUAGUUCCGUUUCAUUCCAUAGUAAAAGGAAGCGAUCUUAAUUAUUGUUUGUUCAUCAAUCAAAAACAUAUAUUUGGCUAUAUACGAACGUCUAAAUUAAAUCUAAACAUCAACUAAUUAAAUCCAUAGACGUUUCUUCAACGUUAUCGAUACAGUAGCUUUAUUUCUUCCCAUAUAAAUAAACUACGAUUGUACUAUUCGUUCAUCCAUCAGAACCAACCUUGGCAAAUAUUUAACAUAUUUGAGGAGCUCUCUUGCCUAGUUUGGAAUAAUAUCUCAUCAUGUCUAUAAAAAAUGUUGUUUGUCUUCUGGUAGCCAUAUGCGUUGUGGUCUCGGCAAAUGCUCAAGCUCAACUACAGCAGUUUCCGGCACCGUUUCCUUUUCCAUUUCCAUUUCCAUUUCAACCAAUUCGUGGUGUGCCAGGAUUACCUGAUAUAAUGAAAUGUUGGUCAGUAAUGAUGGAUAUCCCUGGAUGUGUUACAGAGAUUUCUCAAUCGAUAUUUACCGGCAAGUUUGGUAACAUAGGUCCUGCUUGUUGCAAAGCUUUUUUGGAUGCCGAAGCCAAUUGCAUGCCGAAAAUCCCAUUCAUUCCGUUUUUCCCUCCUAUGCUAAUGCUAAAGGAACGAUGUUCAAGAACUGCCGGUGCAGCCCCUCCACAAAAUAGAGUUUAAGUUUUAGUUUUUUACUUCUCCUUUUUAAAACAAAACAAAAACAAUUUAGCUAUUUCAACAAUGUUAUACCCCAAUAAGAAUACGACGAUAUUAUAGUAGCACUUUUAAGUUAACCAUAUCUCAUAUCAAACAUCGAGUUCAUUAUAAAUUAAGUCUCUCAAGAUUAAGUUAACCCUCUCAAGAUUUUACACUGAUAAGUAAAAUCCUAUUUUAGCAAGUUUCUAAUAAAGGCUAAUAUAAUUUUCUAAAACCAUAAAGAAGACACAACUAGAAUGAGAAGCCCAAAAGCUAAAAUCUUCGUGGGCCGAACCGAACCGAACUGAACUCAACUGAACUAAACUAAACUCCGUACUUUUGUUCCGUUCUCUCACUCCUUUUUUUCUCUCUUUCUCCGUCUGUCGCUGUCUCGCUCGUCCUCUCCUCUGUUUCGUAGCUUCUGCAGCAGAUCUCUCUUUGUCCUUCUCUCCCUCAGAUCACUGUAAGUACACAACUACACUUCUUUCCUCAUUCGAUCUGUUGUUUCUUUUACUCUUCCUUGAUUUGCUCCAAUCUAAAUCUCUCCCUUUUCUUUCUUUCUAUAUCGAGCUUGAUCUGACUCCUUCUUUUAAUAUACUUUUUUCUCCUCGAUUCGUUUUUGUGAGAAACAUGUUCUGCUUUCAUUAAUUAUUGCUACUUCGUUUCUGAAUUUGUGUUGUUCUUGCAAUAAGUGUUUUGAUCUUUAUUUUUUUUUAGGGUUUUUGUGUGUGUUUGAGCUUAAUUUCAUCUUCAACAGUGAAAUCAUAGACUUUCUAUUAGAUCGUUGACUUUCGAAUUUGCCCUUUAGGUUAUUCAUCUAAACGAUUUAGUUCAGAGAAGAUUGUCUCCAAAAAUUACUAAAAAAAGACAGCGCAUAGCUUGAUUAAUUGUUAAUCUUAAACUGAAGUUAAUGUAAAAUUUUGAUUCUCACUGUGUGUAUAUAUAUGUAUGUAGAUGGCACAGCAGGAAGCUAGCCCUUCCCCUGGUGCUGAGGUUGUUGGUCGUGCCUUUGUGGAGCAAUACUAUCAUAUUCUUCACCAAUCUCCCGGUUUAGUCUAUCGGUUUUAUCAGGAUUCGAGCUUGUUAACCCGACCUGAUGUUACCGGUGCUGUGACUACUGUCACAACUAUGCAAGUGAGAUGGGAUUAUAUAAGUUAAUUACUAUAACAUUGCCAUGUUGUUCUCUUCUAAGUUAUAUAUAUAUUAAUAUGGUUCCAUUUCGGAUUUCAGGCGAUCAACGAUAAGAUUCUUUCAUUGAAAUAUGAAGACUACACGGCCGAGAUAGAAACUGCGGAUGCUCAGGAGUCUCAUGAGAAAGGCGUUAUUGUGUUGGUUACAGGACACUUAACCGGAAAUGAUAAUGUGAGGAAGAAGUUCAGUCAAACUUUUUUCUUGGCUCCACAAGACAAGGGAUACUUUGUCUUGAAUGACGUGUUUCGAUUCCUCGAGGAGAAAGAGGUAACCGCACAAGCCCGUUCUGUCACAAUCAAUGGAACUACCAGGGAUGUUCAGGCUCCUGUGGAACCAGGUAAGAUGAAAGAUCAAUGUGUUUUCUUUUUCUUACAACAUAGCACAUGGUUAUAUAGGUUAGGAUCUUAACAUUCCCUUACAUCUUGUCAGAACGUGUUGUCGUUAGUCAUGAGGCUGAGGUAGAACCUGAGCCAGUUGCUUCUAUUGAGGAGGAAGAUCUUGACAAUGUCGCGGAGGUGUAUGAUCCUUCUGAUAAAGAUGAAGGAGUUGUUGUUGACGUUGAGCCUAUCAAACCCCCAACUCAAUUAAGUCAUAAUGAAGUUGUAUCAGUGUCUCAAGGAGAUGCUCCUAAGCAUUCUUAUGCUUCAAUCGUAAGUCAAAACUGCCUACUAACUAACUGUUUUUUUUUCUGUUGUUUCCUAAUAAUUUUGUCGUUUUUAGUAAACCUUAAUGAAGUCUUUAUGUGUUUGAACAGCUCAAACUGAUGAAUAGCGGUCCAGCACCAACACAAGUUGCUCGGAACAAGCCAAGAGCAGCUCCAGUCAGUACCAACCAGAAGCCGACCGGUCGUCCUUCUGAGCCUGUGGCAGCACCCGAGGCUUCAGCUCAUGAGAAUGUACCAAAUAGUAGCCAUGUUGAUGUGGAAGGUCCGUAAAUUCUUUUCAUUUUGCUGUUAUCCGCAAUUCCCUUGGAUAUUGAUUUUGUUACUCUUUGUAUUUACUCUUGCAAUGUGAUUUCAGAUGAUGGCCAUUCUAUUUAUGUCCGAAAUUUACCUUUCGACUCCACACCAACACAACUUGAAGAGGUUUUCAAAAACUUUGGUGCAAUCAAGCAUGAGGGCAUUCAAGUCAGAAGCAAUAAGGUUUGAUAUAUAAUUCUUUAAUCUCUUCCAAAAAAAACGCCUAGCUUAUCGGUUCCUUACACGUUUUUGUGACUCUCAGCAGCAAGGUUUCUGUUUUGGUUUUGUGGAAUUUGAAACAUCUAGCGGAAAGCAGAGUGCGCUUGAUGUAAGUCAUACCCUUGAACAUUAUCCUUUUACCUCGUUGAAUCCUAAGUCUUUCCGAGCUCGUGCAUCUGCUGUAUGUUAUGGUUUACUUUAAAACUCUUGACUCUUUGGUUGGUACAUGUAGGCCUCACCGAUUACGAUUGGGGAUCGCCAAGCUGUUGUAGAGGAAAAGAAAACAAAUAGUCGAGGUAAGAAACAUGAGAGGCCUCAUCAAGAAAAAGCUGGUACAUGAGGUUAUUGUGUAUUGAAAAGAUGUAGUUUAAUCAUUUUUUGGUUGCAGGAGGAGGCAACAACGGAGGCAGUAGGGGAAGGUACUUUUCUGGAAGAGGAAGCUUCCGAAAUGAAAGUUUCAAAGGAGGACGUGGUGGUGGAGGAAGAGGGGGAGGCUACGGCAGAGGAGGAGGUGAGUUUUCUGGCAGACCAAAGAGCUCAAACCCACGAAAUGGAGGAGAAGGUUACCAAAGGGUUCCUCAAAACGGAGGAGGGGGAAGAGGAGGCCGCGGAGAAGGAGGCCGUGGUGGGCCUCGAGGUGGUGCUUCAUCUUGACUUUGAUAUUAAUGGGGGGCCUUCAUCCACAAGAGAGUAGUUUUAAUUUUUGUUUUUGUUUUGCAUCUUUUUUUUCUGCCUACUACUUGAGCUGAGUUGAUGUGGCUAGUCCUUUUUGGCCUUUUUUGUUGGUUUAGUUUUCAAUAUUCUUGCAUUUUUUUGCCUUCGUUUUUGUUUUUCAUCCUUAAAUCUUUCUUUGGGGUACUUACUGUAUGUGCCUCGUCAUCAACAUUCAAUUUCAUAAGAAAUCCAUUAUAAAGUUGUGUUCUUUAUGCAAAUAUGUUCUUAGUGUUUUUUAAAAAAGUUAGAGCAGAAGAAGUGGACAAGACCGGCUUAUUUUGAUUCACAGCAUUAGGGAAAAGUUGCACAUAUAUAAUUGGGAUCGAAUAAACCAGAUUUCUGCAGAUUGGAUAUUUAGAAAAAAAAAAGAGCUGCAGAGCCACCAAGAACAGAAACCUGAGCUUUCAAACAUUUUUUAAAUUUUGAUACAUAAUUUCAGUCUUUAAGAAACAAAGCUAAAAGAAAAGAAAAAUACAGAUUACGAGUGCACAAAAUUGAUUUAAUUUCCCAAAGUUCAUAUGGAAAACUUCAGUGAGAUAGCCAUUUUAUCUUUUGAACUUCUUAGAAGUUUUCUUGUCUUUGCCACCUCUGUCCUUGUUACCUCCCAAGAACCUCUCACUCUCUUCAUCAUCUUCUCCCCUUCUCUUCUUCCUACCCCCUGACUCUUUCAUAUUCUAUAACAUAAAUUGCCACACAAAAAAGAAAAAACACAUAACUGAAGUUAAAAGCAAAAAAACCUAAAGCCUUUUAACAUGAAGUAGUAAAAGUGAAGAGUAAAUAUACCAUUGCAGAUAACUUUUUCGCUUCUGCAACUCUCUCUAACAAUGACAAGACUUCGUCUUCCUCAGCAGGAUAUUCUGGGAGCUUUUUGCCUGAGCGUGAAAACAUAGUCAAAUGUCUGUAUCCCAUGACCAAACAAAAUAAUAAAAUGUAACUCGCAGGUCAUCUACUUACCGAUUAGUUUUUCUAUUUGUAUAUACCAUUCGAGCUCAUACUGGUUUACUAGUGAUAUUCCGACACCAGAACGUCCAGCACGAGCAGUUCUUCCAACUCUGUGGAUGUAAUCCUAUGAACCAAAUUUGGAAGAUCAAUGUGCGUUCUCAAGAUCAUGGAUUCAUGAAAAACAAGAACGAAAAAAUCAUAUCCAUCUGAAGAAAGAAAAGGGCUAACCUUUGAAUUUGUGGGAAUGUCAUAGUUUAUAACAACAUCAACUGAUGGAAUAUCCAGCCCUCUACUAGCCACAUCAGUACAAACCAAGAUAUUACAUUCCCCUGCUUUGAACUUAUUUAAAGCUCCGAGUCUCUUUGACUGUGUAUAAUAUAUCGAAAAGAAUGAGAAACUAUUGAGAAUAAAAAGUCGAGAAUGUUCAAUAGUAGGGAGUGCAACAUUUACCUGAGUCAUUUGACCACUGAUAGGAAUGGCUCUAAAACCAAGACUCCGAAGCACCAAAGCCAGAAAACGAGUACCAUCACAUGUUCGGGUGAAAAUCAUUGAUGUUGAUUCAGGCAUUUCACUAAGAAUGUAUACAAGAUAGCAAUCCUGUUACAGUGAACAAAUAAGCUGAUUACAGUGAAGAAGAUAAAAUCUUUUCUGUCUUUGCUACAUUCUGUGAUGUAAAUAAGGUACCUUGUAUUUAGCGGCAACAAACCGAUACUGCUGCUUAAGAGUAUCGACUGUGGAAUAUUUGGAGGCAGCUUCAAUCUGGAGGAAAGCAACAAACAUACAACUGUUAUACCUCAAACUAUGAUAGCUGUGACAAAAAAAAAAAUUCAAGUCAUUUGGUGUUUCCAUACCUUCACAGGAUUCCUCAAACAUGCCCUUUGAAGUUUCCGAACCUAAGAGGACAAACAAUUUCAGUAACUUUAAUCAAUUGUUCCUUUAGAUCUUCCACUUCACAAGAUUAUAGAGAGAUGGUUUGAUCGAUAAAAACCUUUUUAGUCAUAGUAGCUGAAAAAAGAAAUGUUCUUCGUUCACGAGGGAUCUCUUCCAAAAUCUGGUUAAGAGAUUUCUCAAAAUCUUCAUUCAGCAGCCUAUCUGCUUCAUCAAGAACCUGUUAAAAAAUGUGAAGUAAAUACCAAAAUGAUAUGAUCUAAGAACAGAUAAACCAAAACGGAAAAGCCCAAAGAUAAAACAUUAGUAUACCAGAUAUUUCAAUGAUUUGAGAGAAAACCCCUUUGUGUCAGACAUAUGAUCCCAAAGACGACCAGGUGUGGCAACCUAUGAAACAACAUACCCUAGUUAGUUACAAGAUUCACUUAUGUUAAGUGCAGUGACUCAAACAAAUAAUUAGAACAUAAAACGUACAAUAACAUGAGGGCGUUUCCCAAGAGCAAUAGUUUGUUGCAUCCUGUCUAUACCUCCAACAAGCUGAAAAAAUCAGAAAACGUAUUCAGUUCUAAACAUAUUCAACUGUCGUGGAAACAGGAAGAUUUAUAUUAUGAUAAACAUGAUUAAAACAGGAGCUUACCACAGCACACCGAAGACUUAUAUCAGCUCCUAGAGCUUCAAACUGCUCAGCAAUCUGGAUUGCAAGCUCUCUGGAGAGAAGGAACAUAUAAGAAUCAAAUCAUCCCAUAAAAAUGAGGAAACAAUGUAAACGCUAGGAGAAACUGGGGAGGCAAAUCAUACCGAGUUGGAGAUAAAACACAAGCGAAGAAGGCAGGAUCAGGUCUACGUCCUUUCUUAGGCUCAGAAUCAUAAACAUACUCAAGAAGAGCUUGCAAUAUAGGAAUCGCAAAGGCUCCAGUUUUACCAGAACCGGUUUGCGCAAGUCCAAUUACAUCUUUCCCUGAAAGAGGCAUUAGCACAUCAGAUUCAGUUAAUUGUAUGAUAAACCCUAAUUAUAACAUAAAAAUGGUUUAAGCUUCUCAAUCUCGGAAAAACAUAAACACAGAGCUAGGAAUCCAAUCGUACGGAAACACAUCAAUGAGAAUCAUCAUCCCAAAGUAUAAGCCGCAUACAAAAAAAAAAGUUACCUUCAAGAGCAAAAGGAAGGGCUUCGGCUUGAAUUUUGGAAGGUUUCUUCCAUCCCAAUCUCUCACAAGCUUGCACAAGCUCCUCACGCACACCAAGUUCUGCAAACGUCUUCACCACUUCGUCCUCUUCCUCCAUUUCAAUACCCACCAACAAAUUCACUAUCUCCUGGACUUCAAAGAAGACUCUAAAGGAAUCAAACAGCGUUACGAAAAAUCGCGUCAGUAAGAUUUCCGGCGAGAUUCAGAGCUUUAGAUAAAUCGAGCUGCGUUGCGUUAGGGUACAAAUCAGAAGCGACUCUAGUCUUUGCUAAGAAAGAGUGAGACAAAAAGUGUAAGUUUUAUUUUUGGCUACGAAGGGUUUUAGUUAGGGUUAUGAAAUAUUAGCAUUAUUGGAUCAAGUAUGGGCCUUGUUUACAUUACUUUGGUCUCAACAAAAGCCCAUCUAAUUGGUCAAAAUCUUUAUCUGAUUUAUAAGGUGAAGAACUAAAAGCCAAUUCUAAGGUUAACCUUAAAUUAAAUAUAUGAACUGAAGAAUAACUUUAUAUUACAAGCAAAGUUUUGACACGUUUGAUAGAAAAAAAAAUGUGAACACUUGAAAAAACUACUGAGAUGCUUUAUUCUUGUUGGAGAUGUCUUGGAGCAAUAAUCUUGCUUCAGCAGCAAAAUCAACAGGGGCUACUCCUUUCACAGUUACCCUUUGCCUCUUCUCUCCGUUAUACUCAUUCUGAGUGACACUAACACGGAAGACAUGAGAUGACCACGUUGCUUCUUUCAGUCUUGUCUGAUACUCAUUCACUUCUCCUUCCUGCAAACAAAUUAUAUCUAAAUUAAAUCUGACAUUCUAAACUCGAAAUGCUCACUACUACCUUUUACAGGUUUCUUUAAUCUUACCUCUGAUCUUAGUUUGUUGAGCUCGUCAGCUGAACACCCAAGUAUCUUCUCUGCUUCAUCGUUGAAUGAGGAAAUCCAAGUUUCUCCAGAUGAGUCGGUGACUUUAACCGCCAUUAUGUACCUAACAACGACCAAAGUUGACAUAUUUGAGAUGUCUGAGAAAGGAAGUUCAGAUUCUAACCAAGUUUUGUUCUAUGAAUCUGACUAUCUUACCUUAAGCUGCAUUCUUCAUAUUUUUUCUGGCAUCCUUCACACCAGUAACCAGAGUCAAGUGCUUCAGUCACUUUCUUGUUACAAGUCUUACAAGCUUGGUACCACAUUGUCUGGUCUGGUUUGAUGAAGCUUACGUAAGCCCUGGUGCUGAAAAAUACAGGCUGCAACAGAAAUCCAAGUUCAUAGUAAGUUUUUAACUCUACCAUUAAGAAAUAAGAAGUUUAGGUUCAAGACUUGAAUUUCAGUGUUUAGUACCUUUUCUUCGCCUAAAGAUGGGUUGCUUGUGAUGUGAGAGAGAAGGACUCGGUCAGUAUACAUAGACCGAGAUCCAUUCUUGGUAGCUGGGCUCAUCCCUGAGCCAAUGGAGGACAUGGAUAUUUCCUUGCCUUCAGAAUCGAACCUGCAAUUGUCAAAGAGAACGAUGAUUAACCAAACGUAGACAAGUUUCAUAAUUUUAUUUUACCAGCUGACUCAACCCAAAAGGCAUACCAAGAUUUCAGCUUUUUAGCUUCUGGUGAUACUGGGUUUAUAACAACAUUGCUUCUGCUGAUGGUGGACAAGGAAACACCUGCAGAUAUUGGAUACUAUCAGCAAUAGGUUCAAUCAAAUGUGAUUUCACAUACUGUUAAGUAAUAAUAAAUACUAUCAAGUAUCAAUGAUCAAAUCAACAUUACCUUGAAAAUCUCCAACUUUGAGAGACUUGAUUGCAAUCACAGGUGACUUAUCAGCCAUGUCUAGUAGCUCUUGACCUAUGCCAGUUGCAAGGUCGUUCCACAGGGACACCACAACAGUUUUCUUAGACUCAUCAGCCAAAGUUAUAUCCCUCUUAGGGAUCAUCUCAUUGUCAGUUCUCCUUCUAAUACUCAUGGUAGGAGAUACACUUUGAACAACUCCGAUAAGAUCUGGAAAGAGCAAAACAUGCAAGUUAUUAUCACAACCAAUGUAUGAUUUACCAGCAAAAAGAAUGUUCAAUGAAAAAACGACCCUUACCAAUGAGUUCCUUCUGAUUAACAUACAAACCCAAAUCUUCAAUGGGUAUAAAGUUGAAUUUUGUCUCAGGGAUGAACAUUUCUUCGCUACUAGCUUCCUCAACCUCCGAGUUAUCAUUCAGUGUCAUCUCAUAAUCAUUUUGAACCGUCUUGAACUGCUUGUUAGCAAGUUUAAGUGAUCCCCUUGAUAUAUAAUAGACCUUUCCUAAUUGGAAUCUGUCAUAGAACUUCCUUGCAGCAUCAUUAAACAUCGUUGCUUGAAUUUGUGUUCCCUAUAUCAAAGCCAAAUAAACAAUAUAAGUAAGCACAUAAAAGUCUACACCAAGUUCGAGAUAUAGUAAAUUGGGAGGGAGCUUUUCUUACUUCUUCAUCUGUUAGUUCCACGUUGAAGACACACCCUUCUCCUCUAGCGUUCUUGUAGUUUCUCAUGACUCCCUUGUUUGUAACUCGGACUUUGAUGGUCCAGUUGCCUUGAUAGGGAUUCAAGGACACAAGUGGGUGAACCCUUCUAGUCAUGGCCAUUCUUGCAGCUGGAGCGGCACUGAAAAAAAACUCAAACACGUUUAAGCAAAACACACAUAAUAAUUAUUUGGCAGAGAAGAUAAUAAAGAAAUAAAGAGAAUUGACUUACUUUCCCCUUUGUUCACUCAUUAUCUGAGAAGCUGAUUUGGAUACAAAUUCCUGCUUCGGUUUCAAAGUGAUACCAGUAGAAACAUCCAUCUUAACAUCAUUCACAGGAGUGACAGGAGAGUGCUCAAGUUUCUGCUUCUUGGGCACACUAGCCUCCUCGUCGCUCUUACUCUCCAAGUUAAUCUCAGCAUCAAGCACAGAACCAACAGCUUCACAUUUUGUGACAAGGAAAUAUCUGACACAGAGACAAGAGAGAAACACAAAUGUCAGAAACUUUUGAUAUCAAGAAUCGAGACAACAAAGUGAUUAUCCAUUAUAAAAAAAAAAGACUCUUACUUUGUUGCUUUGCUUGAAAUGUCGUUAACAGUGAAAUCGAUGAGACGAAUUAGACCCAAAUUCUGAAUUUUUCCAGAUAUAAUUUCAGGUGUUAGUGAAGCUGUAAACAUGGCUUUGAGUUUCGUCUUUCCGUCAUUUGCACUAAAUCUGUAAACCGAAAUCAAAACAUGUAAACGAACACAAUCAGAUCAAAUUCGAAGAAAACAAAACACUAGAUCCAUCAAAACAAAAAUCAAUACUUUAUCAGAUCCGUUACUAAAACCCAAAUCUACGGAUUAAAAAUAAAAAUAAAAAAGUCUCAUAACAAAAACCCAGAUCUCAUAUCAUAUCGAAAUCUAGCUAUCCAUUGAGAUUGGGAUGACGAACACUAAUCUAGAGCCGGAGCAAGCGGGAGAGAAUAAGGGAAAUUAAAACAUAACACAGAUAAUUAAAAAAAGCAGCGAAGCUUACGUAUAUCUAUUUCCAAUAGGCUUAAGAUCGACGACUUGAACAACGAUCUCAGGACGAUCAGAGGAGGAAUCAAAGGAAGGGUUCGACAAAACGGUGGAAAUAGCACCAGCGGUCACUGAAGUCUGCAUCUUUUCUCUUUCUCUCUCUCUCUCUCGAUUGAAACGUUUAGAUUUCUCCUUGAUCAGAACGGCGAAACCCAAAACAAGGUGUGUGUGACUGUGAGUGAGGGCAAAGAGAGGUGGAAGGGUUUUGUAAAGGUGAGAGUUUUGAGCGGGAGCUAUUCAUUUCAAUUAAUUAGUACCCCGCUCCUUUUUUCAGUAUAUUACCUUUUCUUUUUGGCGCAUUUUUUCCCAUUUUGGUGUAUUUUUGUUUAGUAAUGGGCUUUCUUAUUUAAAUUUACAAAGCCUAGUUCAGGCCCAUUAUUGUAAUCAAAGCCCUUAAACCCAAGUAAACUGAGAAGUCAAAUAUUUGACCACCACGAGAAGCAAAAGAAAAAAAUGGUGAACUAAGAAAGCCCAUUACUUACAUGAAUUGUUAAUUGACAGUUUUAAAAAGUUAAUUACAUGAAUUGUUUCUCCACCUUCACUCACAAAAAAAGUCAUUGUCCCAAAAUGGCAUCAUUAGUAGCUGUUUCCACGUGUGAUUGGUUUGAAAGUUUUGCAUGUUAAUUUGAUAAACCACAUAUCACGUUACUAGAAACUGUUUCUAACAAUUUACAAUUUUGUUAUGUGUAUUUCCACGAAAUACUAUUAUUCAUAUAUUCGAAAUUUGUAUAAAACAAAAACGUCUAGUCGUAAUCAUACUCAAUCCCAGACUAAAUAAUAGUAUUAUAACAAUCUCUAAUCAUAAAUAAAUAUUACAUGUUUUUAAUUUAUUCGGCUCUUAAAAUAUACGAUUUCAUUGCGUGAGCCAAACAUUUAUUUAAAUUUAUAUGAAGAGAAAAUUAAAACCAAAUGUUGUCACCCUACACACAUUUUACACUUUAUGACUUAUGAGCUGUUGUCAAUCAACUACUCUCGUUUGAGAGCCGCACAUUAUUAAUCAAUCGGACGGUUACGAUCAAGACAUGUACCCGCGAUUUUUUUCUCUCGUCCACGAGGCCAGUCAAACUUCAAGUAUUGACUAUUAUACUAAUCAACUUUAUAUUAUAGUAAUUUCUAGUUGUACCCCCUAGUUUUCUAAAUCUUAUAAAGUUAUCCCUAAUUUAUUUAAUAACUCCAAAAAUUUAAUUAAAAAAUGUGGGUGAUAUUAGAGAAAACAAAUUAAAUUUCUGUUUACUGUUAUUGUUAAGGGUGAUAUUAGUAAUUAACAAGAAAUAGUAAGGUCAUUUCUGAUGUGUUAUAAAUUAUAUUUUCUAUCCCCAAAAUUAAGUUUCCCUUUGUAUUCGUCGUCCCCUCAAUGUGUGGAAGUCAAUGGCAGGAUCCACUUCAAGAUAUCCUUGGCGGCCUUAAAAUCUCAGAGACUAAUAAAUAAACAAACAAAAACUGUGAAAUUUUUAUCAUUUUUUUUCUCAACAUUUCGCUAUCUUACGAAAUUACGGGUUCGUCUUCGUUCCAAUACUAAUUCCAUUUUACAACUUUAUGUUUUUUUUUAUAAAUAGAGUUGCUUGCACCACAAAUUCUUUUCCUUUCCUUCUUCCUCUUCCCCAAUAAUCUCUUGCUCUUUCCUCAAAAAUCUCUUCUUUGCUGGUAUAGAAAUCGAAAUCAGAAGCUUUUUUCAUUUCCUUUUUUUUUUUUUUUUUAAAUUUCAUCUUCUCCCCGAAAAACUUGGAGUGUGGUCGUUUCACGGUACGUUCUAUUUUGUUCGAUCACCAAGUCCAAGUGUAUGCUAAAAUGUUUUUGUGAAUUCAAAAGUAUCUGGUUUUACUCAAAAUCUCUCCUUUUUUUUCUUUACAGAAGCAAGAGAGCCGUUGACUUGGACUUUUUCUUUUGGGGGUGUUGUGUGGGAUUAUAGUAAUGGUCUUGUGAGGAGGAAGAGAUGUUGGAUUUGAAGAGGGCUUCACUCAUCUUUUACCACAAGUAUGUCAACUGGAUUAAGCUUAAGUAGUUAUGGUUUUUACCAUGUUCAUGUGGGGAUUCCUCUUCCUCUCUGUUUACUUCAUUCCGAGAUGACUUAAAAGAGUUUUUUCAAGUCUAGUUAUUGGGAUUAAGCUUAUCUAGUCAUUACUUUAUACAAACAGCCCUUACUUUAUUUGCUGACUGAUCAAACAGUUUCCAUUAGUAUAAAUCUUUACUGCUUCCCUCAUUUGUGCUUUUCACCUUUAAAGACUCGACUUUUCCUCUCUGCUACCGUGUUUGGGUAUGGAUGAGUUUGAAUCCAAGCUUCCUGUUUCCGGGGUAAAAAACCAUGUCUUUGAGGCAUGUCACCAUGUUGUAAAGGCACUGAGGGCGUCUGAUAACAACCUCGACGCCAACUUGAGAAAGCUACUAAGUGACCUAGAGUCGCAUUUGUCAACAUUUGGGAUUGCUGAUACCAAAGUUGAAGAUACAGGAUUCUCUGAGAUCGAGGUGAGAUUCAAAGAAUCUGUGAAGACAAUCCUCAGUUGGGAAACAAACCACUCAACCAUUUUGGAGUCUGGUCCGUCUGAAGCUGAUCACUUUUUUCAAGCCUUGUAUGAAGUUCAAACAGUUGUUAUGGGUUUCAAAGCUUUGCCCAUGAAAACUAACCAGAAGGAGAAAGAUGUUUACAACCAAGCUACGGUUGCUCUUGACAUCGCGAUGUUGAGGCUUGAGAAAGAGCUCUAUGAUGUUCUGCAUCAGCACAAGCAGUGUGUACAGCCUGAAUACUUGGCUGUUAGUUCUCGUAGAAAGGAUAUUGUGUAUGACGAGUCCUUUGUCUCCCUAGAUGAUGUUGAAGUUGUUGUCGAAGCUUCUUCACACGAAGAUGAUGAACAGAUAUCAGAAUUCUGUAAUUCUGAUUUAAUUGAUCCCAGCGUCCUUCCUCACAUCAAAGCUAUUGCAAAUACCAUGUUUGCUUGUGAGUAUGAUCAAGCAUUCUGUGAAGCUUUCAUCAGCGUUCAAAGAGAAGCUCUGGAUGAGUAUAUGGUCACUCUCGAUAUGGAAAGAUUCAGCUGCGUCGAUGUUCUUACAAUGGAAUGGAAUGAUUUGAAAUUGAAUGGUGCGAUGAGAGAAUGGACAAGGGUUGUUAAAAACAUUUCUCAUGUCUAUCUCCCUAGUGAAAAGCAGCUCUGUGAACAGAUCUUGGGAGACUUUGAGUCAGUUUCUUCCGCGUGCUUCAUCGAAAUCUCAAAAGAUACAGUUCUAUCUCUCCUCAACUUUGGUGAAGCUGUAGCACUGCGACCUUGCCAGCCAGAAAUGCUUGAGCGCUUCCUUAGUAUGUAUGAGGUUUCAGCAGAGAUUCUCUUGGAUGUUGAUAACCUCUUCCUGGAUGAAUCAGGCUCGUUUCUAAGGAUGGCAUUCCACGAGCUAUCAAAACACCUAGCUGAUCAUACAACCGCAACCUUCUUAAAGUUCAAAAACGCAAUAGCCUUAAAUGAAUCUGCACACCCCUUUCCUGGAGGCGGUGUUCAUCACUUGACCAGGUAUGUAAUGAACUACCUGAAGCUUCUCCCGCAGUACGCAGAUACCAUAAACUCACUUCUUGAGAACAUAAAUGUUGACGACUCAAUCCCCGAGAAAACAGGACAAGACGUCCUCCCUUUGACAUUCUCUCCAAUGGCUAGGCACCUUCGGUCAAUCGUCACAACUCUGGAAUCCAACCUCGAGCGAAAAGCUCAGCUUUAUGCAGACGAAUCACUCAAAUCUAUUUUUCUGAUGAACAACUUCCGUUACAUAGUCCAGAAAGUAAAGGGAUCAGAGCUGAGACACUUGUUUGGAGAUGAAUGGAUCAGGAAGCACAUUGCAAGGUAUCAACGCGAUGUCACAAAUUACGAGAGAUCCACAUGGAGCUCUAUACUCGCUUUGCUCACAGACAACAACAACAAUUCUGUAAAAACACUGAGAGACAGAUGCAGACUCUUCAGUCUUGCCUUUGAUGAUGUUUACAAGAAGCAAACCCGUUGGUUAGUCCCUGAUCCAGAACUUCGCGAUGAUCUUCACAUCUCGACCUCUGUCAAGGUUGUUCAGUCUUACAGGGGAUUUCUUGGAAGAAAUGCAACUCGUAUAGGCGAAAAACAUAUCCGAUACACUUGUGAAGACAUUGAAAAUUUGCUCCUUGAUCUAUUUGAGUGUUUGCCAUCUUCAAGAUCAUUGCGCAGUUCUCGUAGGAGAUGAUGAUUAUGACUCGAGCCUCAUGGACUCUUAUCUUUGUUCUUUUGAUCUUUUGUUAUUUACUUACGCAUGCAGUGAUUUGUGAUUUUAACAUGUAAAUAAGGUAGUAUAAUUUUUAUACUCCAUUGUGGGGAUGUACUUGAUUUGCAUAAUUUAAUUAAUCGGGGGGGGGGGGGGGGGUAUGUGAUAUCAUAUCACUGAUAUGGUCCUCUUUGGCAGAAAACUGUCGAAAAACCACCAGAUUCAGUUUCUGUAGCCUUGUUGCGUAUGUCCUGCUUGCUUUUUUUUUUUUUUUUGCUAAAUGUCCUGCUUGCUUUUGCUAACACUGAACCUAUAAUGUAGCUUUAAUAUAGUGAUAGAAUGGAGAAUAACAUAUUCCAGUUUAUGGAAGUCUACAAUGCUUGUGUUCAUCGUAGUACACUCAACUUAUUUUGAUAUAUACGCAACAACCAAAGUGUUGUUAUUACCGUGUGUUUCGUUGCUGAAAGUGAAAAUGUUUAAUAAGUUAGUAAGCCUGCAGCCGAAGAAGACAAGAGGGAGUCGUUGCUCAGACGAUUUUGAUGCUAGGCCAUAUUCUCUUUAUCGAUAACUGACUGAAACUGACUAGCUGACAAAAGCAAACAUUAAUUGGACCAAAACAAAAUAUGGACAAAGUUUUAUAAUAUUACGAGUUAUAGCAAAUGUUUGUUUCCUGCAUUCGGAUAUGACGCAUAUGCUAAAUGUAUCUUUUACUGGUCUUGGCUGAAAGAAAAUAUAAGAUUGAAUAAGCAGAUUCAACAUCAAUCUUUGCACAUACCCUCAUAUAUUGGACCAUCACUAAAGAGAUAGAGAUUAACUGAAAGAUGAUGAAUGCUCUCAAGCCAAAACUUCAUCUACUAAGGCUACUACCCUCAACUCGGUUCCAACAAAAGUAAACAAAAAAGUCUGCAAAUUUUGGAAUGGAAACAAAACUAGGGAAACGCCCUAAAUAGCCUAAAACAGCCCACCCAGUUCCCCCUUAAAACCAAAGGUUGGUUCAGCAGGCAGUAGCAACAGCAUUCUUUUCGACAGCUAACUCGUUCUCUUUCACCAC
rnacentral:lncRNA from 1 species